UCAUCCAUUAGCUUUAUAUAUAGAGGACACAUUUUAAGGAAAAGGGAGCGUGGACAAUUUACAUUCGACACUAGCUAGGUUUAAAGGUCUUGCUAAUUAACAGCUACUGAUACCAGGAAAUUUGACACUAAAGUCCAUGUAAAAUCAGGUAUGCACCAUAUUGGGGUUGUAUAGUUAUAAUAUUAGAAGGUGCAUGAGCAUAAGAUGGGGAAAGUUCAAAUGAGAAACGCUGUAAGAUCAUUGCCAAAGCCAUUUUUGCUUCCAUCAUUGCAAAAUUUUGUCCAAUGCACACCCGAGGACCAUAACCAAAUGGAUAGAAGGCAAAUUGGCCCUUUGUUGCCUUAGAAACUCCUUCAGAAAAUCUCUCUGGGUUGAAUUCCUUUGCAUCUUCUCCCCAAAUUUCAUGAUCGUGGUGAAUUAGGAGGAUUGGCAAAGUGAUAAGCGCCCCAUCUGGAAAAUACCAUCCUCCCACUUGACUAUCCGCAACAACAGUUCGAAUGAGCAUAGAUACUGGUGGAUAUAACCUAAGGACCUCAUGAAAAAUAAUUGUAACCUGCAAUAUAGAAAAUAGUUUCAUCAUGAGAAUUCAUAAUUGAAAUACAUUAAAUCACUAAGAAACAUACAUCAAACUAUGAAAGAAUUUUUCAAAUAUAGUUAUGAAAGAGAUUGUUUAAAUUUUUGCAUGACAUAUACUUUCAUGUACAUAUAGGACGAUACAGUAACUGGUGAAUACAAACUAAGAACCCCCUGAAAAUUUAUUACAGCCUAGAGUUCAAAUUUCAAGAAAACACGCUUGACAAGAGGAAAUAUCAAGAUCAUCUUCAGUCUUGUAAGUCUUUGCAUAAAGAUUUCAACACACUUAAUAUCAAGGAAAUUGAUAAUUUCAAACAAGUGCCAACUCAAGUCUAGUUGUCACCAUGAACAUUACCAGAUUUUGUGUCUUCCAUGAUUAUAGGAUCAGUUUCCUAUCUUUGUAAAUAUUGCUUUUAAUUGUGAUUGUAAAUUUACUUUUUUGUUACAUAUUUUUGAAUGCCUAAAAUUAGGCCUCUCUGGUUGUAUAAAGAUAUAGAACAUGAAUAGAAAGUUGUGUAAAUUCUCUUUUAUGGUAUCAGAGCAGAGCCAAACCUCUAACGAGUAUCUUUCCUUUCUUGCUUCCUACGACAUGGCUGCUAUCUCUACAUCUACCACUGAUUCACCUAUCAUCACCAUCAAUGCCGCCACCACCAUCAACGAAAAACUCACCCCCACUACCUUCCCUCAGUGGACAGCUCAAUUUGAAGCCUUGCUCAUUGGAUAUGAUCUCAUUGACUUUGUCACGGGUGUAAAAAAAUGUCCUGCCAUUGAUGCAACAAAUUCCGCUGCCUCCAAAGCCGCGAACUCCCAUUGGGUUCGCCAAGAAAAACUUAUCCUCCAUGCCAUCCUAGCUUCCACCUCCACCACUAUUACCCCUCUUCUUACUGCCUACAAAACAUCCCAUGAGGCUUGGACAAUACUUAACCGUUUAUAUGUGGGAAAAUCACAGACGCGUGCGAUGCAGCUGAAGGAAGAUUUGACCUUGAGCACUCAUGGAACUCGCACUGUCACUGAGUUCCUUCAUGGAAUCAAAGUGAUUGCCGAUGAACUCGCAAUCAUUGAUCAUCCGGUUUCGGAUGAUGAUUUAACCCUCUACAUUCUCAAUGAAUUGGGUCCUGAAUUUAGAGAAAUUGUGACACCCAUUCGUGCUCGUGAGACCUCCCUAAAAUUUGAGGAAAUUCAUGAUCUUCUUGUAGGUCAUGAGAGUUACCUCCAACGGCUGGAAAAUCAAUCGGCAGCAACAUUUGUUCCCACCGCUCAUUACUCUCAUCGACAAGGAGGUGCUUCUAGACAACAUAAACCGAGCCCUAAGUCUUCCUCCAACAAGACUCGCAACAACAAUGAGCAUCACAAAAAUGGGCCCUCCAAUUCGGGCCAUAGGAAAUUUAAACUAAAAUGCCAAUGGUGUGAUCAAAUGGGCUAUACGGCCAAAAAUUGCCCAAAAAUGUCUUCCGAUGACUUUACUGCAAAUUGUGCAACAUCCUCCCAAGGAAAAAAUCACAAGUGGCUAAUUGACUCGGCGACAUAUCACAAUAUGAUAACCGGCCUCUCUAAUCUGUCGAUUAAUUCUGAAUAUGAUGGUACCGAUGAGGUGGUAAUUGGUGAUGGAUCAGGUUUGCCUGUGUCUCAUAUUGGUUCAUUAUCUCUUGCAUCAUCUAAUCGUGUCUUUCAUUUACGUGAUACCCUUUGUGUUCCCACAAUUCAAAAAAAAAUCUUAUUUCUGUUCACUACUUUACCCAGCAUAAUAAUAUUUACCUUGAAUUUCAUCCUACUUAUUUUUUAGUGAAGGAUCAUAUCACGGGGGCGAUACUACUCAAAGGCAAAUGUGAAGAUGGAGUGUACCCACUUCCGGAGCAUCUACCACCAAACUCCAAAAAUGUCGUUGCCUAUGUUCAUGAAUCUACACCCGAUGGAUGGCACAAAUGACUUGAUCAUCCAUCGUAAAAAUGGCUUAACCAUUUAAUUCAUGUUUUUUCUUUACCCACCAAUAAAAAUGGCCAUUUAUCUCUUUGUACUCCAUGUUCUCAAAAUAAAGCUCAUCGCCAAACUUUUAAUACUCAUGGUCUUACUAGCACUGAUCCCAUGGAAUUGAUUUACAUGGAUGUUUGGGGUCCAUCUCAUGAUAUUGGUAUUAAUGGUUCAAAAUAUUAUGUUAUUUUUGUUGACCACUAUACUAAGUACAUUUAGCUUUAUCCCAUGACUCAUAAAUCAAAUGUUCAAACAAAUUUUCUGCAAUUUCGAAAUCUUGUGGAAAAUAAGUUCAACACAAAAAUAAAAAGUCUCUACUCCGAUAAUGGUGGGGAAUAUAUUGGCCUCAAAUCCUAUCUUUCCAUUCAUGGGAUUAGUCAUUACACAACUGCUCCACACACUCCACAACAAAAUGGUAUGUCUGAAAGACGACAUUGCCAUCUAGUUGAGAUUGGUCUCACCUUACUCAUGGAUGCUCACAUGCCUCUCUCAUAUUGGCCAUAUGCGUUUCAAACUGCUGCCUAUCUUAUAAAUUGAAUGCCCACCUCGACUUUGAACAAUAAAUCUCUGUUUGAAAAAUUGUUCAAACAGAUGACAAAUUAUCUCAAGCUCAAACAAUUUGGUUUCCUAUGUUAUCCAUUAACUAGGCCUUAUAACAAACACAAACUUGAGCCCAAGGCCCAACCAUGCACAUUCGUAGGUUACAGCCUCUCCCAAAACGCAUAUCUAUGUUUUGAGCCCACUACCCGAAAGCUUUUCACUUCUUGGCAUGUCAUAUUUCACGAAGGGACUUUCCCUUUUUCAAAACCUAAAAAUCCCAGCUCUCUUUCAUCUGCUGCCGAAGACCCGCCUAUCACGAUCUCGUUGUCGCAACUCCUCUUGGUUCCACGCGGCACUACUGAAUCUCCGAACGUGGGUACUGAAGUCUUGCCAUCACUUAAGGAUGGGUCAUCCCUUGCACCGACUUCUCUAUAGGUAAGUACUCUCUCUUCUUCUCCCUUGAUUUCGAGCCCACUCCCUUCAGUAGAAGUGCAUGACCUUGUUGUCUCUAAUAAUGAAGUGCGCACCCACCGAAUGACUACCCGAUCCAUGAAUGAUAUCUAUAAGCCAAAAAAAUUGUUUCUUGUCACUAAACACCCUCUUCCAUCCUCCUUGGAACCCACUAGCGUUACUGAAGCACUCACUGAUUCCCGAUGGCGUGACGCCAUGUCUUCUGAAUUGACUGCGUUAAUGCAUCACAAUACAUGGCAAUUCGUACCACCUCCAAAUGAUUGUAAUAUUGUUGAUUGUAAGUGGGUGUUUUAGAUUAAGAGACAUGUUGAUGGAUCUGUUGAUCGGUUCAAGGCUAGACUUGUGGCCAAAGGAUUCAAUCAGAGACCAAGACUAGAUUACAAAGAAAAAUUUAGUCAUGUUGUCAAACCAGUCACAAUACGCAUUGUCUUAACUUUUGUUGUUAUGCAAGAUUGGUCUCUAAGGCAAUUAGAUGUCAAUAAUGCCUUUCUUCAUGGGCAUCUCACAAAAAAAGUGUAUAUGAAGCAACCACCUGGCUUCAGGAGUCCGGAAAAACCAUAUCAUGUUUACUGCCUUACAAAGGCAAUCUAUGGACUAAAACAAGCACCUCGUGCUUGGUACUCUGCUCUCAAACAGGCACUGUUAGAAUUUGGUUUCAUCAAUGCUAAAUCUGAAUUUUCUCUAUUUGUGUUUCAUGAUGGCUCCAUACUUGCCUAUUGCUUAGUUUAUGUCGAUGAUUUGAUUCUCACUGGCAACAAUUCAACUUUUGUUGCAAUCAUUAUUGAUCAACUUGGACAAAAAUUCUCCAUCAAAGACUUGGGGUCCCUACAUUUUUUCCUCGAUGUUGAGGUCAUUCCUACCAAAGACGACUUGUUUCUAACUUAGCAUAAGUAUAUCCGAGAUAUCCUUGCCAAGACAAGUAUGGAUGGAGCUAAGGAUGUCACAACUCCUCUCUCUACAUCGGUUUCUCUACAAUUGGCAGAUGGUUCGCCAUCCGUUGAUUCAAUCGAAUAUCGUAGAGUGGUUGGAGCAUUGCAAUACUUGUCCUUAACUCGACCUGAUAUAAGCUUUGUUGUCAACAAACUCUCACAGUUUAUGCAUUGCCCCACACAAACUCACUGGACAGCAACUAAAAGACUAUUGCGAUACUUGAAGAACACCGUUUUUCAUGGCAUUAAUAUCAUAAAAACCUCAAGCCCAACAUUCACAUGCUUCUCAGAUGCUGAUUGGGCUGGCAGCUUGCAUGAUAGAAAAUCAACUUCAGCUUAUGUCCUCUUCCUUGGUCACACACCCAUUUCAUGGAGCUCUAAAAAGCAACGUGCAAUUGCACGGUCAUCAACUGAAGUUGAGCAUAAGGCUUUAGCAACGGCUGCAGCAGAGUCCAUGUUGCUGCUAUCUCUAUUCCAAGAAAUGAAGUUUACAUUACCACAGCCACCUCUACUCUUGUGUGAUAAUUUGGGUGCAACCCAGCUGAGUUUUAAUCCUGUCCAGCAUUCAAGGAUGAAGCAUAUCUAGAUAGACAUUCACUUUGUGCGAGAUUUGGUUGAAAAAAAUUUCUUAAUGUUCGGCAUGUUCUCUCUAAUGACCAGCUCACUGAUUUACUCACAAAGCCACUUUCCAGACAAAGGACAGACUAUCUACGGGACAAGAUCGGACUAUCCGAUGGUAGCCUGUUCUUGCAGGGACAUAUCAAGGAAACUGAUAAUUUCAAACAAGUGCCAACUCAAGUCUAGUUGUCACCAUGAACAUUACCAGAUUUUGUGCCUUCCAUGAUUAUAGGAUCCAUUUCCUAUUUUGUAAAUAUUGCUUUUAAUUGUGAUUGUAAAUUUACUUUUCUGUUACAUAUUUUUGAAUGCCUAAAAUUAGGCCUCUCGGGUUGUAUAAAGAUAUAGAACAUGAAUAGAAAGUUGUGUGAAUUCUCUUUUACUUAAAACAACCUAACCACCAAAUAAAGAUCUCAUACAUGGAAAAGAAGAGCCCGCCUCUUCUUCUUCAGUAAAGUCCACCUCUUUUUUGCCAGUGCUGAUGCAGUGUGCACUUAGAUAAGGAAAGAAAAAUUCCAGUGGGGAUACCAAGUAUUUGCAUAUAGCUUUCAAUUAAAGCAAGAAAGAUACAAAAACAAAACAUAUUUUGCCUCAAGAUUGAAAGAAAAAAAAAAGAGAAAAAAAAAGUACUAUAUUAUUUUCAAGGAGAGUUACUAAACUGCAUAUAUAUUGGAUUGAUACUCACAAUUUUGAGGUGAUUUAAGCCAUCGCCAUCUGGUUUUUUAUUGCCAAAAACUUGUAAAACCUCUUCUCUUGCACGAGCUUGCCAGUUUGAAUGCUUGCUUAAUAGAACCAUAGUCCACAGAAGUAAAUCCGAGGUAGUCUCUUGGCCAGCAAAGUAGAAUAGCUUACACUCCUCGAUGACAUCUUUGAUGCUCAUUCCAACAUUCUUCCUCUCAUCAUGUUCUUGCAUUUCUCUGAAGUUGGAUUCCAUUAGUAGACUUAAUAAAUCAUCAUUAGCAGUUUCACCAACCUUCAUUGCCUUCUCUCUUCUCUCGAUGAUACCUUUUAACAAUGCAUGGACUUCAUUGCUAAUUUGCCUCAUUCUCUUGUUUGUCUUUGUUGGAACAAACCUGUUUGGAAGCAAUCCUAGGGAAUGAAGAUCAACGAAAUACAGGAAGCAACUAAUGCAUUUUCAUCAAUGACUUUUUACUUGUUCAAUUUUUCAGAAUAUCUAGGUGUUUCAAAGAUGAAACUAGCCAGACAUUAAUUGAUUUUUAUUUUUUUUGGGUACCAUGGAAGUUAGCAUGUAACAAUGUAUGUGAAAUUUGGUAAUGGUACUGAGCUUCAUAUUUCUUGAAAUAUUUUUUGCUUACCUCCAUCCAGGAAUAUAAACUGACCGGAAAACCUUGACUGCAAGAUGUGCUUGCUCUUUCUGGAGUUGGAAUAUCCUUCUUCCUUCCUCAUAGCUACUACCAAAUGCUGUUCUAGAAAUCGCAUCUCCUGCCAAAUUUUCAAGAUCGGGCCAAAUGUCCAAUUCACAUGAGCCGUCCUUGGAGAGCUUCUUCUCCCAUUUAUUUACCAUGUCACUACAACUCAAUUGGAAUGCGGGUACCAUGUGCUAUAACAAAUUCAAAUCCAAACAUAAUUAAUAAAUUUAAAAGCCCAGAAUCUGAUUUCAAGGUACAUGGAAUAUUAUUAAACAUUGGAGUUUCUAAAUUGGCUUAAAAUGAUUGACUAGGUUUACUGCGACAUAAAUUUUCAAUAAACUUAGAAAAGAAAUUUUGAUUUGAUUAGGAUUUAGAGAGUGACAGAGCAGAGGUGGAAUGAAGAAUAGUCAGUCCUCACAUUUGCACAUUGGGUUAUUGUCUGGAGAACUUAUAAACUUCAAAAAAUGCACAUGCACAGAAGUUCUCAUGCAUAAGAAAAAAGAUUUCCAGAGGCAGUAAAAUUGUAAUAUCUUUAUUAAAAUUAUGAAGAACAUUAAAAAAAUUAUUUUCUUUCCUAUUAGAAGAGGGCUAUGCAGGGAAACCAGACAACAAGUUGAGGUAUGGCUGCAUAACCAAAAAAAUAGUGCCUCGAAAAGUUAAUCAUAUCCAUCCUUCAAUGUAUUUAUAAGGGAAAUAUAAUUCAAUCCCAGAGGAAAUAUCGUUUGUAAAUAUGUAACCAUUAUUCUGCUCUCACAAUUUCUAAAAACAUAAAGAAAGAAUGGGAAUUAGGGUCACGUUUUUGGUUGGAAAAUUAGCAUCAUAAAAUUACCUUCAACUUUUCUAGAUGGAAAGCUGGGUUUAUGAUCUUUCUACGUUUAGUCCAUUGUUCACCUUCCAAUGUAACAAGACCAGUAGCCAGCAGCUUGCCAAGCGGGUGCGGAGGUGGUUUGCGAAAGGCAUUGUACUUCAAGAAAACAUCCCUUAUCAGCUCAGGGUCCAUAAUGUUUACCACUGGUUUUGGGCCCAUCCAUAUAAAAUAAUUUUUACCUGCAUUUUUAAUGGUCAUUGUUGGAUAUAGAAAUGUUACAAGAGGAUCUAAAGGACCCGGCUAGUCAAGGCCCUCUGAUUAAAGAAUCCUUAAAUAUGUGAAAAAGAUAAAACAGAUGUAGUUAAUGUGGGCAUCCGGGUGUAGCCGGGUAGGCAACCCAUCCCAAGUAGUGUCAACCCGGAUGCUCCCAUCUAACCAAAGCUAUCCGGGUAGUUAGACACCAUAAAUGGAUGUCUGUUAUGCGCCAUCCGACCAUACCAUUUGAAUCACUGCACUACUUAAUUCAAAUGGUUCUGGUUUUCCCCAGCUUACACAAAGUUUAUAUAUAUACACUACCUUGUGUCUGUAGUCAUCAGUGCUUUCCUCAAUUCAAGGUUAGAUGAAAAUGUAAAUGAACCAUAACUAUGUAGCCCUAUUCCUAAUAGAUUGACCACAAAAUAGCAUAUCCAAAUUAUAAGAAAGGCCACAGAAGCCACAAUUUCAGAAUUUGCGAUUUAUGCGCCAUCGGUCAAUGCUACGAGAUUAAAUGCAGACAUAAAAAGAGGUCAUAAUAGCGAAAAGGAGGUUACAAAGUCAAAGCCUAUAUAACAGCAGAGGAACAAGAAUUAGAGAUGCGUAACUUCUUCCCCAAAAAUUCAUUCAGUAAAAAUCCUUUAAGCUAACUUGGCCAUUAGAGAGGUCUGUCUGAAACACAUCCAGACAUGCCUUUUUUUAACAGAAUAUAGGAGAACAGAGGGGCUGGAGUAGCUGCCCAGAGGGUAUGUGUUGAGCAGGAACCAACAGUUAAUAGACUCGUAAAGCUAAAGUAAAGUUUCUUAAUGGUUCUCAAUAAGAGGCACUAGCAGCUGCAGCCUAGAGAAUACCAUUACCAUAUAACAUGUUCAAAUCACUUCCGGCCAAUACCAUAUGGCAUGCUCAAACAACUAAGUAGUUACUAUGUUCGAAGCUAGCCCAAAUUCAAUUUUUACUUCCCAAAAUCCCCUAGAUUCUUUGGUUGCAGCCUUGAUGUGAAAUAACUAAACCAGGUUAGUUAAGGGUAUGUUUGGUAUACCAAAUGGAGGUGAAAGAAAAUAACAAUGAAGAUGGGUAAGAUUUAAGACUAAUAUUGAAUAGAUGUUUUUUACCGAAACUGAAGGGAAGGAAGUGAAAUUAACAUUUAAAUAUGUUCUCAAUUACUAUCUUUUCUCAGUCACAUUUGCAUCACAUCGCUUCAACAAAUUUGUGUUUCAAAUAUUAAAAUUUUAUAUAAUAAAUAUGAGAGUAAAUGUAUAAUGAUAAAUAUUCUGGUAAUGAUCUUUUAUAUACCAUUCAACUUUGAGGAGAGACAGAUUAGGAGCUCUCACAAGAAAGUUUCUAAUAUUUGAAUGGUUUAAGCUGCCAUAAGUUUGAGCUUGUGGAUAUGCCAUUUACGCCACUCUUGCAUAUGCAUCAAGAAAGAGCUCCAAUUGCUAUCUAUAUGCAAUUCAACAUUGGUUUAACUAUGAAAAGUCAAAAGUUCAUGCAAAAUUUGAAAAGAUGUGAAAAGAUAAUUAAGGAAAAAAUUUUAGAGGUACCAUUGAAAUUUCAUUGAGCUGUAAAUUCUUUCAGAAAAUUAAUUAAAAAGAAGAAGAAGAAGAAGAAGAAGAAGAAGAAGAAGAAACGGCAGGAAAGAUCAUUAGGGUUCAGGAAAGACAAUUUGGGGAAAAAAAAAAUCACAAAGGAAUGACAAGCUUUCGUUUUUCUAUCCUUUCUAAACCUAACAGAUAUGGCAUUUACGCAACUCUUUCAUGUGUAUCAAGAAAGAGCUCCAAUUGCUAUCUAAGAAGAAGAAGAAGAAAUCAGAUAGAAGAAACGGCAGGAACGACAGGAAAGAUAAUUAGGGAAAUAAAAAAUAAAAAAAUCAGAAAACCGGCUAUAGUACCAUAUUUCUUGAUGGAAUGACAAUGGAAGGGGAGAACUCGCUGCACAAUAUCAUCGGAUAAGCUGAUGGAUCUUGAAUUUGCUUCGCUGAUCAUCCUUAACAUCUCUCUAAAAUCCCCAUGUAACAAUCUGUAGGAAUUUCCCGUCAGACCUUGCUGCCUAAGACACCUUUCUAGCUUCUUUGGUCUCAACCACACCCAAUUCAAUAAUCUCCAUGCAUAUAUUAGGAGAGUAAUAAAAGCAAAGGAAAUUGCAACUGAGCUAAGCUUCAUUUCCAGUUUGGAAGAGACUUCCAGGAGUGCUCUGUGAAUUGCUUCACAGUUGAGAAAAUCAAUUUAGAUGAGUAGCCCCACCACUUCUUAUCCUGUCGGAUUAGGUGGCAAGGAAUUAGUGGCCGACUCUAUAAGACACUUUUAUUUCCUCAAGAUAAGGACACGUGUGAUCGUUUUAAAGUCAAUAGUCUUUUUAACUUCUCAAUGAUUAACUACUAGAAUCCUAGUUUUUUUUUUUUUUUUUUAAUUAUUAUUAUUAUUAUUAUUUUGGCAUGAAUUUAUUUUAUGGAAAAAAAUAAAAAAAAUAGAUUUUUGUAAUAAUUUUUGUAUGAUAAAAAAGGUAUUUUAGGGAUAAAAUUAUUAUUUAUAGUAAAAAAUCAUGUUUAACCGUAUAAUGUAUUUGUGACAAAAAAAACAAUUCAUAAUAUUUUAGCAUAAAUCUUAUAUUCAUAAUAAAAAUUAAAUUUAAUUACAAUAUCAAUCUAUGACAUAUAGUUUCUAUAAAAUCUUGUCAUAAAUUUUUUUUUAUGGCAAAUGAUUUUUACUAGAUAAAUAUUUAACAUAUAUUUUUUUAAUGAAUUUAUAUUUUAUAAUUUUAAAUUCAAUAUGGUAAAAAAUGAAUAAUUUUUAUAUUUAUAAAUUUAAAUUCAACAUGGUAAAAAAUAAAUAAUUUUAAUAUCAUAAAUAAAUAAAUUUAAAUUUAUUUAUUAUAUAUUAGUUAGUAAUAUAUAUAUAUUAUUUAUUUUAAAAAUAAAAUAUAAGCAUGGCAUAGCAUGUCACAUUGAAUUAGAUGCAUAGAUUUUUAUUUUAUUUUUUGAAAAAUCAAUUUUAAAUUUUAUAGAUGAAUAAUAAAUAAUUUUUCUUAUUAUUAGAAUGAUUAGAAAAUUCAAUAAACAAAAUUAGUCAAACAAAUUAAGAAUAAAAGAAAAUACUAUACAAUAAAAUAAAUAAAUUUGAUUGAAUAAUGCUAAAAUGAGGAUAUCACAACAAAUAAAGAGGGUUAUGAGGGCAAAACUUGAGAAACAAAUCCAGAAAACCAAAAACAUGGAGCACUUUCAAGGACCCUACCCAUUUCCCUUUUCUUGCAAUUUACCAACAACCAAACAUGAGCAAGCUCCACCUCUCCGACAUCAAAUGAUUUGAUUUCUAACCUCAAUCGACAAUUACGGAGGUCAAUCUAUCUCUUAUUCUUUUUUUUCUUUUUUUUUUUUUUUAUUUGCUAGCCUCCACUGAUUGUUCACUUGGAUUUUAUUCAAAUCCAAAGAUUUAAUGUUUUUUUUUCAUCAUUUUUGAGGUAUUUUUAAUUUUUGUUUGGUUAAGUUAAGGUUAUUUGCUUUCAAAUUUCAAUGUGAAUAUCAAUUGUUGCAUUUUUGUUGAUUUCAAUAUGAGUAUCAUAAUACCUCUAUUUCACCUCUACUCGUCCAAUUAUUGGGCUCCUUUUGUUUGAAGAAAUGCAUCUUACAACUAAUUAAUUUCAAUAUGAUUUCAAGUUUUAAGAGAUGUGGUUGUAUGGAAUUCCCUAAGCUCAAGCCUUCCCAUGCUUCUUGCAACUCUCUCUCUUGUUUCUCUAUGAGAUACAUAAUAUUUAACCUAGUAGUCUGUGUUGCUAAGCAACAACCAUUUUUUCGCUUUCAAAUUUUGAUUUAUGUUUAACCAGAAUUUGGUCCAAACCACCUGCAUUCUCUAAACUUCUGGUUCAUGCCAUUUCUCUUCACCUUCAGCACUUCUUCCUUGAAACUAAGCCUCAUUUUCCAAACCACCUGCAUUCACUUUCAAGAUAUAUGCUUUACUAGAACUUUGUUCAAACUCUUGAAAUUUGCAAUGUUGUACAUUGCUUUCAUGUUUUACCUCUUGAUAUUUUCAUAUUCAGUCGACUCACAAAGCUCACCUAAACACUCGUUUGUAUCCUAUGGCAGAAAUUUUAUUUUGAUUUCCUCUUUCUAUGUAUUGAACUUUGUAUCAACUUCCUUGUUAAGUCAAUAUUUUCUUUCCCACUAACAUUUUCUCCAAAAUGUUUGAUUAAACUAAAUGAAUAGUUCUUAUUCAGUGUAACCAUUCCUCCUCCUUCAAUUGGGUCGAUUUUUCUUUUGUUCUUUACUUCUUGGACCUCUCUUUCAAGUCUUGAAACAUGUUUCGAUAGAAGCUUAUCCAAGCUAUGAACAUCUAGAACACGUUCUAUUUUACUCAAUUUUUCCUAUGCAAGCCUAUAUUUUCUUCAGAUUGUGUGACUGGAGUAAAUAAAUCAAUUUUCUUUUUCAAUGUACCCAUAUUGCCUCCUUCGAUUAGGUUAUUUUUUUUACUUUUGCUCUUUACUUCUUAGACCUCUCUUUCAAGUCUAGAGACAUGUUUCACCAUAAACUUAUCUAGAAAAUAUUUCACAAAUAUCUGAGUUUCCUUCUAGUUGUUAGUUUUUCAGGUGUAUCAAUUUAGGAUGUUGUUAGGGCUCUACUUUUUGAGGUUGGUUAGAGCAUUGUGUCGAUGAUUUCCCCCCCUUGUCUAAGCUAAAUAGAUACACAUAUUUGAUUCAACAUAUUGUUAAGAUAACAAAGAUUGCAAGAGACCCAUCGAUAUCCAAAAAGUAGAAAGUCUACGUGAACUAGUGGAAAAUACAAAACAAAAAACUUUGUUAGACUAUGGAAACUAAAUGCUAUUGAGUGAUGUUAUUAAGUGCAAUAACAUAGUUAGUUGCAUAUUAAUAAUCAUAAUAAAUUGUUUGUUGAAUUAAACGAAUUAGCUAACAUGGAAAAUCUUUGGAAUUCUUCUCUCAUGUAAGACUUUGUCAGAUUUUAAGUUACAUGAUGUCUACAACACUCAUUCAAGGAAAACAAAUAACAAGAAGAACAAUAACAACUACUAUUUCUACUGCUACUAGACAUAAUUGAUAUAGCUUCUAGUUUCCUCUCUAAAAACUGAAAACUAGAAAUCUUUUUCUAUUUUACCUAUUUUGGAAAUAUUAACAAGUUUAUAAUUGUAUGAAGUUAUAAAAAAUGUUUGGUUAUCAUAUAGAAUUCCAAUGAAAUGAUGAUUGAGGAGUUCAUUAUGCUAGUGAGGAUGACUACCAUGUUAGGGUUGAGUCCCUAAAAGUAAGAUAUGAUGUAACAAAGUUAGACUUAACUAUCCCCUUGCUAUCUCUUUGGUGUAUUGACAUUGAUUUGAGUAUUUAGACCAUGACUCUUACAUUGUACAUAACUUGUGUGCAUUAGGAGUUGCACAGAAGAUACAAGUCAUAGGCUCCUUGUAAGUAGAUAAGUUGUUCACAAUUUGUUCAUAGAUUUAAGCAAUCUAGUAAAGGUUAUAGUGCAUUACCUCCUAAUUGGAGGGAUGGCUUGUCUUAGUCGUCGGGAUGGGUUUCCCAUGGUAAGUGCAUUAGUGUAUGUGAUGCACUAGACGGGACCUAUGGUAAAUCAUCACGCAAGGAUAUCAAUUGUCAUGAUUCUCUAAGCUACUAUAUUGCAUGGACUCUUAACCAUAAAAGGAUAUUGAGUCUAUGCCAAAAUCAAUAGGAGACUUUAACCUAUGGAUGAGAUUCUAAAGUGGUCAUAUAUCACUAUGGAUUGGGUCACUAUUGAUAGAAGUUAGUGGCAACAUGUAUUCUUAAUAGAGGCACCAUGAUAUCUCAUGGGAUUGAGACAAUGUGUCCCCUUGAGUGAUCCAAAGCACAUGUGAUCAUGAAAUCUCUAGCCACAAUAAUUCCUUUAGUAGAAUUUGACAUAUGCUCUUUAGAGCUAGAGUACUUCACAUAAUAAGUGUGAUAUGUAACUCAAGGAUUUGAGAGGAAAUCUUGAUAAGUGAUAAUACUACCUUGUUAGAUUACGGAUACCAAUUCAUGAGGAGUUUGCAUGUAGUGGAUAGUAGGUCAUAGACUCGAGCACUUGGUGUCUUGUUGUAAUAUACAUAAGGUACUAGAGUGUAGUUGAUUCUCUAUAGUGGUUGAGUCAAUUUCAAAUUUUGAUUUUAGGGGAGCUAAUACUCUUAUUAGUCCCAAUGGUCCUCGAUCCGAGCUUAUAUUCCUUGAUGACAUGGUUUAUAAGGGUUUGAUGAGUUUUAGUUCACUUUUGUGCAUAAGAGCAUUUUGGUAAUUACACAAGGUUGCAUAGAGAUAAGUGAGUUAUAUUGCUGAAGUAGGUUAAUUGAUUAAUUAGGGCUUUGUAUGGUUAAUUAAUCAAUUAGUAACCUUUUUAAGCUAAAUUAAGUGACUCAAGCCCAUAGUGAGCUUAAGUCACUUAAGUCUAGUAAGAAGCUUAUAAAUACCCCUAUAAGGGACAUCUCAAUGGUGGAGAUCAUGGUGUUUACGAGAUCUAUUAUGACUUUGGAGUUAUCUACAUUGAUUGGAAUUGAUUCAGGAACAUCCAGAUCAAAUAUAUGUGGCUUUAUUAUCUAGAUCUAUGAUUUUUUUAGUAUCCAUAUUGUUUUUUAAUACCUGUUUAUUCAUUGUGAUAAAUUUGGAGGGCCUAUGAUAAAUUUGUAUGCACCCUUUGUGAUCCAAGGCAUGGGAAUAAAGGGGUUCCCAACAAUUGGUAUCAAAGCCCUAGGGUAGGUUUUAGCAUGUUAGAUAUGUUCUAGGGUGUGCUAACUUUGUUCUGUAGGGUUGUUUUAUUCAUCCCAUGACCCUAAAGGAUGAAUGAAUGAAAUGUUUUUUAUCAUUCAAUUAAAUGUAUCAAUAUAUUUGGAUUGAUUGGUUAUAAUUGUGAUAUCAUCUAUGCCUUUUGGUUCUCUAGAUUAGGUUGUACACCCCAUAAAGGGUAUAAGAUUUUUAGUUGGUUGUAAAAAAAAUUUCUGUUCAAUAGAUGGGUUGUAAGCUUCUUUAUAAGAGCAUAGAAAUUUUCAAUAUUGUAAAAAUUUUAGCUUUUUGUAUCCAUCCAUGGUGACCCAAGAGAAAAGAAAGAAUCUUGAAAGUUCUUUUUCAAAUUCUAUGUUUAAAGAAGAAAGAAGGAUUCUUAGAAGUUCUUGUUUUGAGAUCUAUACUCAAAAUCAGAACUAUCUCCCAUUAGUUUCUUGGGGCAAGCCAUAUAUGGAUUUGAAUAUUAGGAAGUCAUGAAUCCAAUAGUUUAAGUGGAUUUCAAUUUGGAGUUGAAAUGAGGAAGAUAUGGCCGAUUGAAGCAAGGCUACGCAAAGUGCAUGGUAGCACAGUGACAUCAAAUUUGAGCCAAAAUCGGGACCACUUACACUAGAUUUUUCAAGGAAAAUCACCUAUGGUUUUUAAUCUUAGGAAGUUAGAAACCUAAUGCUUCAAACGGAUGACAAUUUGAAGUUGAAACAAGGGAGAUAUGGUUAAUUGAAGUAAUACUGCACAAAGAGCAUGGUGUUAUGGGAUUGCAUAUAAGUCCAAUUCCUUUCAAUUGUUUGGGCUAAAUCUGGGGCCUUUCCUUUUGGGCUUAAUUUGGUGGUAAUAAGGUAUUUUGGGUUUUCAAUUUUACUAACCCUAUCUUUGGUUCUAGGGCUAUUUUUGGUAAUUUGGAUUUUAUCCAAAUUUUAAUUACCAAAUAUGCAACAAGAUCCCUAAAGGCCAUGAGAAAAGUUUCAAUUUGUUUAUUCCUUUGUUUUUUUAUUAUAUGCACUUUAUUAAUUGCAUAUGUGGCCUCAAGAUAUUUUGGUAUUCUUAAUUGGAAAUAAAUUUUCAUGAUUUUUUCAAAAUUGAAAAACUUAUUUAAAUUGGAAUGUGCAUGGUUAGGAAAUUUUAUUUCAAAGAAAAGAUAAGUUGGAAAACGAUUAAGGGCUUUACCUUUUUAAAAUUAAUUCUUAGAGAUUUUAAUUUUAUUUAAAAUCUUCUCAAAUCUUUGAGAUCUCUAAGAAUAAAAAUUUUCUUUUAUGGAAAAGCUUUUAUAUUUCCAAAUCUAUAUAAAAUAAUAUUUUCCUAUUUCGCACAAGAUUCCGAUUUAAAAAAAAUAAGUUAAUUUUGAAAAUUCAUGAUAGAUAAUUUAUAAUUAAGUAUGGUUACCAAAAUAAGUAUUAGAACCCAAAAAAAGGUUUUUGGUAUUCUUAGUAAAUUUUCAUGAGAAGAUAUUUUCCAAGACUAUCUAUUUAAACUGGUUGUUGCUAAGAAGAUUGUUAUUUCUUUAUAACUAUUUGUUUAUUAAACUUUAGUAGGUUUUCCUGUUCUUUCUUAGUGAGAAAAGGAAAACUAUGCUUAUAGUUGGUCCUCCAGGCUCUCCCCCUAGAGAGAAGAAGGAAAUUAUUCUAUUUUGAUAGUUUAAUGAUAAGGAAUAAGAGAGUAAUUCUUUUUGCACAAGAGUCUCGGUUUAAAGAUAAAUAAUGGAUUUAGAAAAUCCCGUGAUAGAGAAUUUAUGAUGAGAAGGGUUAGCAAAAUAACUUUGAAAAGUUUUAGUAAUUCAAUAGAGAUAAAAAAAUAUUUUGAAAAAUACUUUCCAUAAUGGAUUGUUUAAUUCCUUUUUGGACAUAACCAUUUUUUAGAGUUUUUAAUAGAGAAUAUUUUAUCCAUUAGGGAAUUACUAAAAGGUUCUAUUUUUGGUAGUAUUUAAUGGAAUAAAUUAUUAUGAAAUCUCAUUCAAAUAUUUAUUAAGUUGGAAAAGUGUAAGGAAUAAGGAAAGUAAAUCUUAUGAGGAUUUUUGAAUAUGAGAAACAAAAGUUCCUUUAUUGGAUAAGGUGCUCUCAAGAUUAUUCAAAAUCUUAUAAAUUGGUAAUUUUCUUAUUACGCAAGAGUUUCCAAUUUGGAAAAGAAAUAGUUUGAAAAUUUUCAUUAGAGACAAUUUAUCAUUAAAAGAUUAUUACCAAAAGGCUUAGUAAUUUAAUGGAAAUAAAUUUCUUUGAAACAUUUCUUAGAUAAAAUAUUUAUUAAUUGGAAUUGUGUAUAAAAGGAGAAUUUUAUGAAAAUAGACUUUAAAAUUUUGAGAAUGGAUAUUUUAUCAAAAUUCUUUUUGAAAAUUACUUUCAUGGAAAUUUAAAAUUUUUCAUGUUGGUAUUCUCCUUUUACACUAGGUUUCCUAUUACGAAAUAAUUAUUUUUUGAAAAUCUCAAAGUAGAUAAUUUAUUCAUUAGAGAAAUUACUAAUGGUUUUAAAAUGCUCUUAUUUGUCAAAGAUUAAGUGGAAAAGGGCCUUAGGCAAGCCCACAACCUCCAUUGUCGAGCCCAUCUUGAUUUGGGUUCAUCACCACCCCAUUGGCGAGUUGGGACCUAGGAAUCAAAGGAUAUAGACUCUUCAUUAGGAUGAAACUAGACAUGUCUAUAGUGGGAGCAACCACCCCACCGGUGGGGUUCCUUACUUGCUAACAUUGAUAGUUCAAGGACAAUGGUUAUACACUUAUCAUUGGUUUUGAAGUGGUCGAAUCACCUACUACGGUCCCACUUGCAUAGUCCAUAGGCCAAAUAAAAGGUAUGUUGAUCUUGUCUUUAAAUACCUUUCAUGGUUAAGACAAGGAGAUAAAUCUAAGAGGGUCUCUAACUAGGAAUAAGGUCAUGACCUACCCACUGUAGGCUUGAUUCUUAUGAUACAAGGAUACCUUGCAAAAAGAUAAGUAGUUUGAGAGCACUACAUUUUUGCUAAAUUAAUUACUAGAUGCCUUGAAUGCUUAAUUAUGUCAUAUGCUUGGUUAUAUUCUUUGUUAUAGGUAUCAUGUUGGUUUUAUUGUCACUCUCUUUCUGAUAAUAGACCAAGCCCAACUAAUCAUUUAAAUUAAUUUUAUUCUGGAUAUUGUAAGUAACUGCAUAGAAGCUAGUUUAGGAACAGUUAGUGAUUCCUUAUAAACUAACCGAACAAAAGGAAAGAUUGGUAUACCAAGGAGGUAUUAGAUAGAUCAGAAGACCAAGUGUCUAAUACUUGGAUCUUUGGAUAAUGUGUUGCAAUAAUAACUCAUGUCUAUUAUUAGGGACUUUGAUAUUCUUUUUCUAGUUUGCAAUGGUUAUUUCAUGAUAAGGGUAGGUUAGCUUUGAUAAGCUACUUUUAAGACUAGUAGGAACACCAGCAUUCAUAUGAUCUAAGAGACCUUGCCAUUUUCCUUUGGGAUGGCUAAGAGAAUUCUCAAAGAUUAUAGGGUGAUCAUAUGGAAGUCAAAGAUUCUUCAAGUUCUUAUCUCAAGAAGAAGAAAAAUAAUACCAAAUAAGGAAAGUUCAAGAGAAUGAAUAAGAAAGCAAGCUCAAGGGCAAGUGAUUCAUUUGAGACCUUUUAGGACAUUAGAAAAGGAAUGCCUAAUUUACCUCAAGGAAAAGGAAAGUAUACAUCAUUUUCUCAUUGAAUUUUUGGUGAUGGAUUUCACAAUUUAUGGUGGAUAGAUUCCAGGCCCAUUAUCUGUAAGUCCUUAUAAGAUAUUCAACAAGUGAAAAGGUUAAAUGAUGGAUGUACUUACCUUAGCUUCAGAUGCAAUGUUAGUUAUGCAGGUUAGUGGGAGGUAAUAUCCUUUUCUUUUAUAUGUAUUCCAUUAUCACUUUGCUAAGUGAUGAGAAUAGUUAGAUCUCAAGAUUAAACCUAACACUAAUUAAACAUUUGGUUUCUAGACCUAGGUCAUAUUAAUCUAAAUAGGAUCCAAAGACUGAUAAAGUCUAGACUCUUUGAUUCCAAAAGAUCUUUUAGUUUAAGAAUCCUAUAUAGAUGGUAAAAUAACUAAGAGGACUAGAGUCCAAGAAUGUUUGGAGUUAGUUCAUACUAACAUGUAUGGUACUUUUAGUGUCCAUGCAUGGGGAUAGUAGGGGUGUUUCAUCACUUUCAAUGAUGAUUUCUCUAGGUUUGGAUAUGUACAUAGGAGAUCUGAUGCCUUAGAUACAUUCAUUGAAUUUAAGGCGGAAUCGAAUAACCUAUUAGGUAUACAUACCAAGUCACUUUGAUUAGAUUAAGGUGAUAUGUCUAGUAAGUUUGAUUCUUUCCAUUGGAGCAUGGGAUUAUUUCUUAGUUAUGUGAUCAGGGUCUCUAUUACAAAAUGGAGAGAUGGAAAGAAGAUAUCAAACUUCGAUGAACAUAGUGAAAUCGUGGAUAGGUUUCUUAUCUUUUCCUAAACUCUCUUGAUUAAUUGCAUAUGUGGCCUCGAGGUAUUUUGGUAUUCUUAAUUAGAAAUAAAUUUUUUUUUUUCAAAAUUGGAAAACUUAUUAAAUUGGAAUGUGCAUGAUUAAUAAAUUUUAUUUUAAAGAAAAUAUAAGUUGAAAAAGGAUUAAGAGGUUUUUCUUCUUUUUAAAAUUAAUUCAUAGAGAUUUUAAUUUUAUUUAAAAUCUUUUCAAAUCUUUGGGAUCACUAAGAAUAAAAUCAUUUGUUCAAGAAAAAACUCUUAUUUUUCUGAAUCUUUAUACAAUAGUAUUUUUCCUAUUUUAAUUUGCAUAGGAUUCUGAUUUGAAGAAAAUGAGUUAAUUUUGGAAAUUCAUGAUAGAUAAUUUAUAAUUAAGAAUGGUUACCAAAAUAAAUAUUAGAACCAAAGAAAGGUUUUUUGGUAUUCUUAAUAAAUUUUCAUGAGAAGAUAUUUUGCAAGAUUAUUUAUUUAAACUAGUUGUUGCUAAGAAGAUUGUUAUUUCUUUAAAACUAUCUGUGUAUUAAACUUUAAGAGGUUUUCUUGUUCUUUAUCGACGAGAGAAGGAAAGCUAUAUCUAUAGUUGGUCCUUCAGGUUGUCCUCCCCAAAGAGAAUGAGGAAACCGUUCUGUUUGGAUAGUUCAAUGAUAAGGAAUAAGAAAGCAUAUCUUUUAGCAUAUGAAUCUCGAUUUAAAAGGUAAAUAAUGGAUUUGGAAAAUCUCAUGAUAAAGAGUUUAUGAUAAGAAGGGUUACCAAAAUAACUUUGGAAUGUUUUAGUACUUUAAAGGAGAUAUAAAAUAUUUCAAAAAAUACUUUGCAUAAUAGAUUGUUUAAUUCAUUUUUUCAAAUAAACAUUUUUUUGGAGUUUUUCAUAAAGAAUAUUUCAUCCAUUAAGGAAUUGCUAAAAGGUUUUAUUUUUUGGAGUAUUUAAUGGAAAAAAUUAUUAUGAAAUUGAUAUGAAAAUAUUUAUUAAGUUGGAAAAGUGUAAGGAAUAAGAAAAGUAAAUCUUAUAAGGAUUUUUGAAUACGAGAAGCAAAAGUUCCUUUCUUGGACAAGGUGCUCUCAAGAUAAUUCAAAAUCUUAUAAAUUGAUAAUUUUCUUAUUACAUAAGAGUUUCCAAUUUGGAAAAUAAAUACUUUGGAAAUUUUCAUUAGAGAUAAUUUAUUAUUAAAGAAUUAUUACCAAAAGGCUUAAUAAUUUGAUGUAAAUAAAUUUCUUUAAAACAUUUCCUAGAGAAAGAUAAGAACUCUCCACAUGGAUGAGACUAAAUAUGUCUGUAGUGGGAGCAACCACCCCCACAAUGGAUUCUUUACUAGUUCAAGGACAAUGGUUAUACACUUGACAUUGGAUAUGAAGUGGGAAAAUUGCCCCAUGCAGUCCCACUUGCAUAGUCCAUGGGCUAAAUAGAAGGUAUAUUGAUUUUGCCUUUAGAUACUUUUAUGGUUAAGACAAGGAGAUCAAUUUGAGAGGGUCUCUUACUAGUAAUAAGGUCAUAACCUACCCCACAUAGGCUUGAUUCUUAUGAUACUAGGAUACCUUGCAAAAGGACAUGUAGUUUGAGAGCGCUAUAUUUUUCCUAAAUUAAUUACCAAUUGCCGUGAAUGCUCAAUUAUGUCAUACAGUUAUUUAUAAUCUUUGUUAUAGAUGUCAUGUUGGUUUUAUUAUGACUUUCUUUCUCACAAUAGGCCAACCCCAACUAAUCAAUUGGACUAAUCUUAUUCUAGACAUAGUAACUAAUUUCAUAGAAAUUAGUUUAGGAAGAGUUAGCUAUUUCUUAUGAACUAAUCUAGCAAAAGGAAAAAGUGGUAUAUCAAGGUGGUAUUAGACGGAUCAAAAAACCAAGUGUCUAAUACUUGGAUCUUUAGAUAAUGUGUUGCAAUAGCAACACAUGUCCAUUACUAAAGACUUUGAUAUUAUCUUUCUAGUUUGCAAUGACUAUUUGGUGAUAAGGAUAGGUCAGCUUUGGCAAGCUACUCUUAAAGAUGUUAUGAAUACUAGUAUUCAUAUGAUCUUAGAGGCCUUGUCAUUUUCUUUUGAGAUGGCUAAGGGGAUUCUCAAAGAUUAUAGGGUGUUCAUAUGGAAGUCAAAGGUUCUUCAAGUUUUUCUCUCAAGAAGAAGAAAAAUAACUCCAAAUAAGGAAAGUUCAAGAGAAGGAAUAAGAGAGCAAGCUCAGGGACAAGUGAUUCCUUUGUGACCUUUUAGGACACUAGAAAAGGAAUGUUUGGUUUACUAAAGGAAAAAUGAAAGUAUACAUCAUUUUCUCAUUAUUGAAUAUUUAGUGGUGGAUUUCAUCAUUUAUGGUGGAUAGAUUCUAGGCCCACUAUCUGUAAGUCCUUAUAGGAUAUUAAAAAAUGAUAAGAUUAAAUGAUGGAAUUAUACUUACCUUACCUUCAAAUGCAAGGUUAGUUAUAUAGUUUAGUGGGAGAUAAUAUCUUAUUCUUUUAUAUUUAUUAUAUUAUCACUUUGCCAAGUGAUGAGAAUAGUUAGAUCUCAAGAUUGGACCUAGCGCUAAUUAAACAUUUGGUAUCUAGACCUAGGUCAUAUUAAUCUAAAUAGGAUCUAAAGCCUAGUAAAGUUUGGACUCUUUGACUCUAGAAGAUCUUCCAGUCUAUGAAUCAUGUAUAGAUGGUAAAAUGACCAAGAGGACUAGAGCUAAGGAAUGUUUUGAUUUAGUGCAUACUAACAUGUAUGGAACUUUUAGUGUCCAUGCAUGGGUAGGGUAUGGGUAUUUCAUUACUUUUAGUAAUGAUUACUCUCGGUUUGAAUAUGUACAUAGGAAAUCUGAUGCCUUUGAUACAUUCAUUAAAUUUAAGGUGGGAUCGGAUAACCUAUUGGACAUACAUACCAAGUCACUUCAAUUAGAUUAAGGUGAUAUGUCUAGUAAGUUUGAUUAUUUUCAUUAGAGCACAAUAUUAUUUCCUAGUUAUGUGCACCAAGGUUUCCAUUGCAAAAUGGAGAGAUGGAAAUAAGAUAUCAAACUUGGAUGGAUAUAGUGAGAUUGUGGAUAAGUUUCACAUCUCAUCCCGGAUUCUAUUGGGGAUAUGUCUUAUAGACUAUGUAAUAAUUUUUUUUUUUCUUUAGAGGUAUAUCAAUUUAUAAGGCAACUAAGAGGAUUUUUGGGUUAUUACCUUUAUAGUCAGGAUCAUCAAAAGAUAUUUGUUGAUACAAAUAUUAGAUUUUUUAUGAAGAAUAUAUGAUAAGGAAUAAGGCAAAAAGUGAUACAAAUUGGAGGAUGUAUUAGAAGAUAGUCCCACAUUGCAUAAGAUACUAUAGAUCCAAAGGGUUAAAGACAUAUCAUUCCUAUGAUUUCUAGUACACCUAUGCCUCAUCAUAGUUAGAGAUUUACAUCCCAUAGAUUAUGAUGAAGAGGUGAGCAGUGUUUGUGAUCAAUUAAGGCAAGGAGCUACGAAGAAGUAGUUAGAAUCUCUAUAUUCUAACAUAAUUUGGGUUCUUGUAAAAACAUCUAAUGGGAUAAGACCCAGAGGUGUAAGUUGAUCUACAAAAAAAACACAAGAGUAGAUGAAAAACUUGAGUUUUAUGUGACUAAGACUUUAGCUAAAGGUUAUAGUUUAAAAUUUUGUUUCAACUAUGGAAAACCUUUUCAACAGUGGUCGUACUUAAAUCCAUUAAAUUAUUCCUAUCUAUUGCAGUGUGUCUCAUUUAGCCUUGUGUAUACAAGAAGGCACAGGGAAGCAUGGUGAUGCUCUAAGAUCUUACAGGUAAAUGACAAUCUACUCAUUAGAUAUGAUGUAGGGAUAUUAUUUUCAGUCAAAAUCUAGUAGUAUACUCAAUUCUAGAUGAAAAUCUAGAGGAAGGCAUAAUAUAUUCUUAAGAUUAAGGUCCUUUAAGACUACAAGAAUAGGAAAAUUAUGGCAUGUCACCUACAUAGAUAAGCAUCUAGUUAAGUACAUGAUACAAAACUCCAAGAAGGGCUUGUUACUCUUUGGAUUUGGAGUUAUCUUUUUUCUGAUCAAUUUCCUUGGACAUCUAUGGAGAGAGAUUGCAUUAAGGUAGUAUCCAAUGCCUCUGCAAUGGAUAGCCUUGAGUAUGUGAUGCUAUGUGCUAGACUAGAUAUUUGAUUUAUUAUAGGAAUAAUAAGUGGAUAUUAGUCCAUUUCCUUAUUAGAGCUUUGGGCAGAUAUCAAACAUAUACUCUAGUAUCUUUGGAGACAAGGGAUUAUAUGUUUAUGAGUCUUUAUAAUGAGUUGAUACUCUUUUUGUACCAGGAAAUUAGACUUCAGUCAGAUAAGGACUCUCGUAGGUCUACCUCUAGGUAUGUGUACACUCUAAGUGGUUUUUUGUUAUUUCUAUAACAACAAAAGAAGCCUUUUGGCUUAUGGGUAGUUCCUUUGGCUAUUUCCUUAACAAAAGUACUACUAGAAGAGGAAACACAAAAGAGGAAGUGUUACCUUAUUAUGAGAUAGUACAAGGAGGUGAUAUGACUAUGGAGCAUAAUCUUUCUAUAGUGCCUAGUUUGCUUUUGAGGAUAGUGGGAGUUUGUUGGGAUUGAGCCCCUAAAAGCAAGACAUGAAAUAACAAAGUUAGACUUAACUAUCCUUUUGCUAUCAUCUUGGUGUAUUGACAUUAAUUUUAACAUCCAACCCAAGUGUCUUACUAUAGACCCUCAAUUUUGUCCUCUUAGCACAUGUCCUAUUAGAUACUUGUUCGAUACUUUAUAGUUAGCUCCUUGGUGGCCCAUAUCUACUCACGCUACACUACUACAAAAAUAGUUUAUGGUGUCACUAUUUACGGUGUCACUAUUAAAAUAAUGACACCAUAGGAUUUAUAAUUAAUAAAGGUGACACAUCAUAUAAAAAAUCUUCACUUGAGGUAGUUAGAUGAUAUUAAUUUUAUAUUUAUAGUGUCAUUUUUUGGGAAGUGACAUCAUAUAAAAUAAUUUUUUUUAAGUAUUAUAACCCAUUUUUAGAAUUAAUAAUGAUGGAUACUAUAUAAAAAUCCCAUUGUUUCCAUAUCUCACCCACAAUCCAAAAAAUCUCAAUAUAUAAAUCCUAUAUAUAAAAUCGUGAUCUUCUUCAACCUUUUCUCUCACCCAUAGUCAACAUGCUCACAACCGACAUUCUUCACUUUGUGGACUUCCAGGUAACCCAAAAUCUCUUGGAUCUAUCAUUUUUUUUUCUUUUAUUAAUGUCAUUAUAUUAAUUGUUUCAACAUCUUUGUAUUAUGGUUUUUGUGAAUUGUGUAUUCUUGAGUUGUAGGGAAGAAAAAUUUAGGUUUAAUCUUCUAGCAUAGAAGAAAAAACUGUAGAUUAAUUGAUUUCUUAAUCUAAACCAAACACAUGAUCAAAUCCUUAAAAAAAAGGGGAAAAACAGGAAAAAAAAAAUGAAUGAUUUUUAAUAUCUAUUUGUGUGAGAAUGACAGGUACAUAAUUUUUUUUAGAUAUACUAUCACAUAAUCUUCAUCCUUUCUAAAAAACGAGAGAGGAAAAAAAAAUGAUUUUUCUGUUUGUAUCUAAGUGGGAAUGAGAUAUAGAAUUUCGUUGAGAGUAUCCAACCCCAAAAGGACCAAUUCGGGAAGGCAUGUGUGGUAUUGACGGGAGAUGAUAAGAUGAAAAUCAUAACCAUAGCCAUGUUUGAUCUCUCUAUGUCUUUCUAUCCUCUUCAAUUAAUUCAUGGGCAUAGAUAUUUUAUUUAGUUUUUAUAUUUAGUUUAUUUAUAGUUUAUUUAGUUUCUAAAAUCCAAUUAGCUAGAUAUUUUAUUUGAUUUUAUUUUUAUAUUGAAGUAGUUGAGUUUUGGAAAGUUUUUAUAUUUUGUUAAUAGAAAUAGAAAUUUUUAUAUUUUUUAUUAUUAGGAAUUUCUAUUUUGUUAAAUUGUAAGUAUCUAUCUCAAUAAGAGAUUAUUAAUAUUCAAAUGAAAGUGAUGAAAGAGAGUAAAUAUUUUAAUGCUCAAUUAUAUUUUAAUGUUUUUUUUUUUUUUUACAUAAGGGUUUAUUUAUGUUUUCAAUUUUGAAGUUUCCUUUCCAAGUCCAUCAACAAAAGUAGUGUCCAACCUUAAAAUGGACAUGUGUGGUAUUAACGGGAGAUGAUAAGAUGGAAAUCAUAACCAUAGCCAUGUUCGAUCUCUCUAUGUCUUUCUAUCCUCUUCAAUUAAUUCAUGGGCAUAGAUAUUUUAUUUAGUUUUUAUAUUUAGUUUAUUUAUAGUUUAUUUAGUUUCUAAAAUCCAAUUAGCUAGAUAUUUUAUUUGAUUUUAUUUUUAUAUUUAAGUAGUUGAGUUUUGGAAAGUUUUUAUAUUUUGUUAAUAGAAAUAGAAAUUUUUAUAUUUUUUAUUAUUAGGAAUUUCUAUUUUGUUAAAUUGUAAGUAUCUAUCUCAAUAAGAGAUUAUUAAUAUUCAAAUGAAAGUGAUGAAAGAGAGUAAAUAUUUUAAUGCUCAAUUAUAUUUUAAUGUUUUUUUUUUUUUUUACAUAAGGGUUUAUUUAUGUUUUCAAUUUUGAAGUUCCCUUUCCAAGUCCAUCAACAAAAGUAGUAUCCAACCUUAAAAUGGGCAUGUGUGGUAUUGACGGGAGAUGAUAAGAUGGAAAUCAUAACCAUAGCCAUGUUCUCUCUGUGUCUUUCUAUCCCCUUCAAUUAAUUCAUGGGCAUAGAUAUUUUAUUUAGUUUUUAUAUUUAGUUUAUUUAUAGUUUAUUUAGUUUCUAAAAUCCAAUUAGCUAGAUAUUUUAUUUGAUUUUGUUUUUAUAUUUAAGUAGUUGAGUUUUGGAAAGUUUUUAUAUUUUGUUAAUAAAAAUAGAUAUGAGGACUUAAAAGGUUUAUAUUUAGGUAGUGCUUGAGCCAAGGAAAAUGAUAGUCCACUAUCUUGACCCUAUGCAUCACAAACCAUGUGAGGACUUAAAGGAUAUCGUAAACAUGUAAGUUCUUCCUAUUAUUUUUCAUAGUAUUAUUUUUAAAUAAAAAAAAUACAUUCACCUCAAACACAUUUUUUUAUCAUUUAUAUAUAUUAAAACAUAUAACAUUUACCUAUUUUUAAAAUGUACCCAUUGAACUUAUUUACAUAGGACUCUUCGAAUAUCUGCAAAGAAAACAUCUAAGAGGGAAUCAUCUUAGCAACUAGUGCAAGUGACAUCCAAAAAUUUUUCUUUACACAUUAGCUUAUGCAUUUGCACCAUUUAUAUAUGUGAGUACUAAUGUUAUUUUAUAAUUGAUCGAUUAGUGUCCAAGACAAGAAGGAGGGUUCGAAUGUGGCUACUUUGUUAUGAGAUUCAUUAAAGAGAUAAUUUUUUAUCCUACAAUUAUUGCUUCAAAGGUAUUACUUAUUUAAUGAAUUGUACAUAGUUUUAGGCUUCCAAAUGUUAUGCAUUUUAAUGUUAUUUUCUUAUUUGAUUUCAGUUUUGUGAUAAAAAAAACAUAUUCUCAAGUAGAAUUAUAUUUCCAUUUAUUCAUCAGAAGAAGCGCCCUUCGAUGAAAUUAGAGGAGAAUGGGUUACUUUUGUGCUACAACUAAUCAUGAAUCAUGUUAAUGCAUCAUGAUCACCAUGCAUGGUGAGUCCCUUAGCUACUACAUGAAUAUUUCCAUAGGUAUUUUAUAGUAAUUCUUAUUCUUUGAAUAAUGUUUCUAUUUGAAAAAAAAAAAUAGUUCUUAGAUUUGUUCAUUUAUGAUAACAUCGAUCCAUGUUUAUUUUCUUCAAUAAAAAUCUUUAAAACUCAUUAAAUUUUGAAAUGUAGGUAUACACUCUUGGGAUGGUGAAAUGGAGAAUAAAAAGAAAGAAGAAGGCAACAAGAUUUUGGGUUUUUAAAUGCAACUCUUAUGUUAUACGUUGUAGGACAUAAACGUUACUUUAAUUGCAACUGAGAAAUUUAGAUUUUUAGAUGGGACUUUUAUGUCAUUUUAUGGUUAGCCGGUUUUAUGCUUAGGAAAUGGAGGUAUACAUGAAUCUUGGGAUCUUUAACAUUUCUAAAUCAUGUUUUGGUAUGUAUUCACUCUUCUUUUUUAGUUUUGAUGGGUUUGAUAUGUUGGACGUACUAUCCUUUUGUGAACAUUUGAUAUACAAAUAUUAUUAGAUGAUUAAUGUAUUAUGAGUUAUUCCAGAAACAUUACAGAAAAAUGAGUUAAAUAUAAUAUGAUUGUUAUAUUUAUGGACAAAAUAUAAAUAGGUUAAUCUUAUUAAUUCAUAAGCAUUACAAAAAUCAACAACUAAAACCAAUCAUAUCUUCCACAAUAAUUUACAAUGAUGUGAUACCAUAACUUAAAGAUGAUGCAUUUAAUGUGACAUCAUAACUCAAAGAUGAUGUAUUUAAUGUGCCACCUUAUCAUCACUAGAAAUAUAUGGUGUCACUUCCGAAUGGGUCACCAUUUAUCUACUUUGGUGUCACUUCCAAAUACGUCACCAAUUGGUACCCUCUAUGGUGUCAGUGGAGAAGGUGACGCUAUGUUGUAGUAACACCCUAUGUUUAUGGUGACUCGUUAUAAAUGUCACCAUAUACCUUUUUCCUUGUAGUGCUACUUACCUUUCUUGAGCCACCUUGGAGACUCUAGUUAAGGGAUUGCCUAACCCCUUUAUUGUGACCCUUGGCAGUUUUGAUUUAGACUUAAGCUUUCCAUUCCUUUUUAGGAUAGUUCUUAAGCAUGUUUAGGUCACUUAGACAAUAUCCCGAUCACUUUAGGACACUUAGUUCAUUAGGCACCCAUGUAGGCCCGUUUAAACACUUCAUCGGGCUUAACUUUUAUAUGUAUAUAUAUAGAUAACUUUUAUUAUUAUUAUUAUUAUUAUUAUUGCAUGUAUUCGAUAAUUAUAUUUAUUUUGUUUAUUCAUUUUCAUUUUUUACUCUUUAUUUGUUUAUUAUUAUCAUUGUCAUUAUUAUUACUAUUACAAUUUUUAUUUUUAUUUUUAUUUUAUUUAUUCACUUAUCUAAUAGGAAUUUGCUUGAAUUGUUUAGACUCCAAAAUGUGCAUAUAGCCCCCUUAUUGAAUGAUGGAUAUAUAAUCUAGUAUCUCAUUGUUCUCUUUCUUUUCUUUUAAAUCAUAUUUUAUUUUAUUACCAAUCUCAUGAUUUCCAUUAGUUUAUUCUCUUUUCUUCUAAUUUUUAUUUUAUUUUUAUUUUCAAUUUAAUUUUAUUCUGUUUUGCAUGAGGAAAUUAUUGAGAGAGCUUGCUACUGUUAAAGAUGGGGCUGUCCGGUUUAAAGUACCAGAAGAUAUUAAAUCCUAAAGCCUUGAUUUUGGAGUAGACCCUUGGAGUGAGGAUGAAGAUUGGUUCUUUGAUGACGAAGAUUCUGAUAUAGAAGAGAAAAAAGAAUCUCUUCUUACCAAACGUCAAGGAAAAGGUGCUGAUUUUGUUCGUGCAGCAUAGGAGAUUGUUGAUAGUUAUGAGGAGUUGAAGAAACAGGAUCAAGUUGAUGAUUUUAACUCUGCCAAUGAUGUUGCUGUGACAAAUAGUGAGAAUUUAGUGGACUCAUCAUCUAAUUCUGGGUUGAAGGAUCAGCCUGAAGCCCCCACAGUAGCAGUCAAUUCAAGAUUAAAAACUUCAUAUUCUGCCAAGGAUAGAAGUGAACCAAAGCUACUUGAGAAAGUCCAGAAUGAGUUGCUGUCGGUAUUUGCAAACCAACUGCUUGAGAAGGAGCACUCUAGGUGCCAUGCGUUGCUUAGAGAUGACAAGGUGGAUAAUUUAUCAAGGAAAACCAAAAUAGGAAGGAAGUGGCCACACAACACGCAUAUAGUGGGCUGUGAGGGAGAUUCCUUUGGGUUUUUUUUUAGAAAGAAAAGUCAACUGAUCUAAUGACUUACCAAACAACAUGCGGCUGCAUCCUUGGGAAAUCUCCAAUGUGAACCACAUGUAUGCACUUUCCUAUAUCACGUGCAUCGACGGAAAGGAAAGAAAUAUUAGAGUGAAGCCGCCAUAUAAAGGAGGAGGCGACUGUUUGGAAGGGAUCAACCUGUGUUUUGAAGCAUGAGAGGCUGCUGUUUGAAGUGAUCCGAUGAGGGAUUUUUUAGAGCCUUUGAGGAUACCGUUUGGGAGGAGAUUAGUAGCAUUUUGAAGGGAUCAUAGGCUGCUGUUCGCACAAAGAUCAGUCCGCAUUUUCAGAGCGUGAGGAGCUACUGUUUGAGAUGAUCCGAAGAGAGAGUUUUGAGAGCAUGCGAGAGGCUAUUUCAAGGGAUAUAAAAGAGAGAGUUUAGAGAGUGUGAGAGGGGCUGUUUUGAAGGGAUCAGUGCAAGGAGAUUUGAGAGCAAAGAGGUGGCUAUUUGAACUCACUGACGAAACCAUCUGGACAAUAGCCCAUCCAUCCAUGCAUCUUUGAAAAUGAUGAAUCCUCCAAUUCCCAUCAUUGUCAACUACACAACCAGACCAUAUUUUAUUCUCUUCUAGCCACUAGAGUGCUGCAGAUUAUAAAAAAUAAAAUAAAAUUCUGACCUGGAAUACAUAAAAGAACUUGGUUCGGGUACUUAUGGAAUUGUAUCUUAUGGAAAGAGGAAGAUGGCCGCCACAUAAGCCACACAUUAAGAGAUGAUUUUCUGAAACACGGAAAGAACAGCACGCAUCUAAGAGCGGUCUUCCUACAACAGAUUCAACAAUAUGCAUUCUUGAAGGCAAGUUUCUUUUUCUUUUUUUUAAAAUUUUAUUUUAGUUUAAUUUUAAUUUAUUUCGUUAGUUUAGAUGUUUUUUUUAUAAUUAGUUUAAUUAAUUCUACAUGAUAAAGUUCUUAUUUUUUUCAUUUCAAUUUACUUUAGUGCUGAUUUUUCUUUUAGUUUAGAUGUGUUUGUGAGUUUCUAACUUUUUGGUUUAAUCAAUUUUAUGUGAAAAAAUCAUGUUUCUUUUAUUCUACCUUGGUUAAAUUAAACUCAUCUAUUUAGUUUAAAUACUUUUGUAGUUUUAGAUCAUUGAAAAAAUUAAUUCCAUGUUUGAAAGUUCUUACUUUUAGUUUUCUUUUAUUUAAUUUUGUGCAUUUUAAUUAGUUUAGGUAAUUUUAUAAUUUUAGUUUAUUAAUAAAAUUAAUCCCAUGUUCGAAAGCUCACUUUUUUUUAGCUUGCUUCAAUUUAAUUUGGUUCAUUUUGAUUAGUUUAGGUACUUUUAUAGUUUUAAUUCAUUAAUAAAAUUGAUUCUAUAUUUGAAAGUUCAUGCUUUUAGUUUACUCUGAUUUGGCUUCACUCAUCUAUUUAGUUUAGGUAUUUUCUAUAAUAUUAGCUUAUUAAUAAAAUUAAUUUUAUGACUGAAAAUUCACAUUUGCCUUGACUUAAUUUCGUCCAUUUUAACCAGUCUAGAUGCAUUUGUGUGUUUGAUUGAUCAUGUGCUAAUUCUUGAUUGUUAUUUUUAAUUGAUGUGUUUCUCGAAAAUAGUCAUUAAUUCUUGGUGGGUAUAUCGUUAGCUUAUAUGAUCUAAGUUCGAAUAGUUUAUUGCUUUGGUAGUCUAUGGUAAAAUUUACUUUUCGGAGGCCAUCGGAAAAUAGUGAAGAUUGACCUCCAUUCCCACCACUUCAAUUUUCUCAGUUGUCAAAAACUCUACUUUGCGAUUUUAAUCACUUUUGUUUUGCUUGGUAUUUUGUUCCUUAUGUCUUGUCGUUUUCAAAUUAAUUUCUUUUAUUUUGAAAUCCAACACUUUUCUUAAAAGAUCCCUUUAAAAAUCUAUUUAAAAAAAAUUCAUUUAGAGUCCUUAGAAUAAAAAAAAAAAAUCUCAUUUUCUUAAAAUUUGCAACCAUAUUUCGAUCGGUUUGCAUCCUUCUCAAUUUUCAACAAAAAUUUUGGUUUUAAAAAAAAUGCGAAUCAAAGCUUGUGGUCCCAAAUAAAUGGGACAAUUUUAGGCUAAAUUCAUGUAUAUUAAUUUGGGGAAUUGGUGAAAUCCCUACAUAAGAAAAUCUUUUUCAAAAUUUAUUUUUUGCUACCACCUUGCUAUUUAUUGUAAUCAUAUUUACAUUUUUUCUUUUUGGGAAUUGUAUGCAAGAUAUGUAUGAUAAUUAAUUAUUCCAAAUUCUGAUAAUUUUUGCUAAUUAAUUAGAUAAGCAUGCUAGGAUUUAUUAUUCAUUAUUUAUUAUUUAUUAUCUAACCCCCAUGUCCUAAGGAAGCGCAUUAGGAGUUAUAUAUGCUAUCUAGGUACGUUCCAAAAUUUCAUGAAUAUGUGUCAUUGCCCUUGUUUGAUGCCAUACUUGAUUGUCUCAAUGCUUGUCUGAUCAUCCUUGAUAAAAUGCAUGUCAUGUGUCAUACUUUUGAAUUAACCAUUGAUGUUUUAGGGUUUUUCUUUCUUGUUUUAUUUUCCCUUUAAAAUAAAAAUAAAAUAAGUGGCGGCUCCAACUUUUCCAAAACUAAAUAUUUUUUCACAAAUAAAAAGCUAGUCUCGCCGAUCGAGUGGGAACGCAAGUGAAAAAUAUGGGUCCGCACUUACAUUGUACAUGACCUACGUGCAUUAAGAGUUAAACAAAAGAUACAAGUAAUGGGUUCCUUUGUAGGUAGAUAAGUUGUCCCCAGUUGGUUCAUGGAUUUGGGAAAACCAGUAGAGAUUGUAGUGCACCACCUCCUCAUAAUUAGAGGGAUGGUUUAUCUUGGCCAUCAGGAUGAGUUUCCCAUAGCAAGUGCACUAAUGUAUGUGAUGCACACUGGAUAAAACCUAUGAUGAAUCAUGAUGCAAGGCUAAACGACUCUGGGUCAUGAGCUCAGGGCUAUAAAUGCUAAGAAUGACUCUGGGUCAUAGAUGAGAAAAACGACUCUAAGUCGUGAGCUUUGGGCUCUAAAUGGAAAAGAAAUGACUCUAGGUCAUAAAUGAAAAUUGACUCCGGGUUGAGAACUCAGGGCUCUAAAUGGAUAGUCGAUCAGGAUGCUUUCCGGCUCAUGGUGCCGGGUCGAGGCCACUCACAAGUGGCUAGAAUGAUGAAAAUGAGACAUCUCAAGGAUGUGAAGGAUGCAAACGACUCUGGGUCAUAAGCUUAGGGCUCAGGAUGCUAUGAAUGACUCUGGGUCAUGAUGCGAUGAGUAACUCAGGGUUAUGAUGAAUAGCUCAAGGCUAUGGGUGGAAUGAAUGACUCUGGGUCAUGAUGCAAUAAGCAAAUCAGAGUUACGAUGAAUAGCUCAAGGCUAUGGAUGACAUAAAUGACUCUGGUUCAUGAUGCAAUGUGUAACUCGGGGUUACAAUGAAUAGCUCAAGGCUAUGAGCUUUGGGCUCUAGAAAGAACGGCUAGAAGGAGAAUGCAACACGCAAACUCCCGGUCAAACCACUCAUGGGCGACCAAAUGAUGAAGGCUCAACUCAAGGCUGGAAAGACUCGGGGUCUAUAGGAAACGAUAGCUUAGGGCUACCAGGCUCAGGACCUAAGGGAAGAAAGAGAGCUCAGGGCUAUAAGACUUAGGGUCUAGAAGGAAUGGAUAACUCAGGGCUAUGAGGCUCGAGGCCUAGAAGGAACGGAUAAAUCAAGGCCAUAAGACUCAGGGUCUAAAAGGAGUGGAUAGCUCAGGGCUUUGAGGCUCAGGGCCUAGAAAAAACAGGUAAAGAAGACCAACUCGAAAGUGGAUAGGAAGUAAAUGGGCUCAAAGUCGUAUACUCAAAGUGACAAGAGUCGGACUACUGAGCUCAAGAAGGGAAAUAUGCCCCAGUAACCAGGGUGCUCACAUUGCUAAAACAACCAGUAAAUCAAUCAUCCGCUAAAAUCAAUGGGUCAGGGACCAAUACACCAUGACAAACCUCUGAAAAGUCAAACUGGAAGAACUCUCUGUGUCUGAAAAGCUGCUCUGCCAACGAAUCUCAAAAGGUAAAUCUCAAAGUGUGGAUAUCGUGGCUCAUCUAAAAACAAAUCUCAAAGUGCACAAAAUACUACUCAUAUGGAUAAUCCAAUAUGCAAGGUAACAAUGACGAAAACAAAUCCAUCUCAUGAACAUCUAGCUAAAGGAUCCGCCCAUGCUCCUUGGGUGAAACCUGAUAUGAUCCAUCUCUAUCUCGACAAAUCCAUGUAGGGAGGUCCUGAUAUAAUCAAUCGUCAAAAGCUCUAAACUAAUACUCAAUCUAAAACCAAGUUGGCCACUGUCUCAAUCUCAAGGAUACUCAAAGAAAAUGAGGAAAUACUCCCCAGUAUAAGUUCCGAUAUCAAAGUCAUGAGGUAAACAACCGACACUAAUCAUCCAUUCUCAUACCACUGCCCAAACUAAUCUCACAAAGGAGAGGGGAAUAUGCUCCAGUAUGAUAUUUGAUGUCAAAGUCGUGAGAUAAACAACCAACAAUGAUCAUCCAUCUAUAUACCGCUGCCCGAACAUAAUCUCAUCAUGGAGAGGGGAAUAUGCCCCAGUAUGGAUAUCUGAUGUACAAUAAAGAAUUCGUCAAAAUCAAUCAAACAUCUCAAUAACCAUGGAUAGGAAUAGUCAUAUCAUCCAACAACAACUAAAAGCCUCAGAGAAAAGGGGAAAUAUGCCCCAGUGUGGAUAUUUGACGCACAAUCAAAAGGAUGAAUCUAAUGUCAUCAAUCAACUGUCUCCAACUCAACAAUAAUCCACUAAGAAAUCAGAAUGAAGUAUCAACAAAUACCUCAAGGAAGACUCUUUAAAUUUGAUCUCAAAUGAAUAAUCAAAAUGAUGAGGAAUAUGAUAAUCUCGAGAGUAGAAGCACGUCUCUGAUGAAUCCCUAACUAAAUCUGAUGGGAAUCUGGUGACCUCCAAGUGAGGGAAUAUACUCUAGUGUACAAGAUCUAUAUACUGCACUGAAAACUGUCUCCAACAAAAAAAUGAUCCACUAGUCUAUCUCAAAAAUACUCUGCAGAUGGAACCUAGAAUCAUGAAAACUGUCAAUGAGCUCAAUAAUGCUCCACUAGAACUGAUAUCAUCUCAACAUGCUCCACUAGGGAUCUUUGAUUGAUGAAAAUGCCCAGGCUCAAAUAAAGUGCUCCACUAGGGGCUCAUCUCAACCAAAUGAAAGGAGAAUAUGCCCUAGUAUGGAUAUCUGAUGUGCAAUAGAAUUGGAAGCUAAACAACAUCAAAUAUCAUCCAUAAAAAUGAAGUAAUCGUCUACAUCCAACACUAGAUCACCUCCAAGCAUCAAAGAAGCAUCUCCUAGAAGAAGAAAUAGAACAACGUCUAUAUAUCAACCAAAUCCCAAACACUAGCCUAAGUAGAGGCUGUCAAAGAUAACAUUUGAUCUCAUGGCCUCAAGGUGGUCUUAAGACACGAGACGUAACGUAAACUAGGGUGAUAAGAUGAAAGAAAUGAAGGGAAACUAGGUUCAAAUACCCAAUGAUCAAACCCAUACCCUCAUGUACAAAAUGUAAUGCAUAGAAAAAAUCUCAUGAGUCAUGAACCUAAAGGUAACCAAAGGAAAUGUUGAUGGUGAAACAAGAGAAAGGAUAAGUGGUCAAACCAUCAAUGAAACAUGUGAGUGAUGUGAAGAAGGUAUCGAAUCAGUAAUGUGUAUCAAUAUGUAGGGAAUAGAUAAAAUAUGGAACAAUGAUUUGGAAAGAGGUGGUGAGAUACAAAAGAAGGCAAUGAGAAAGUGGAAUGAAUGAUGAUCAACUCAUAUUAGUACAAUAAAGGAAAGUCAUAUCACCAAUGAUGGAAUGGUGAAUAAGACAAUGAUCUGGAGACCCUAGUAAAAGGUCAUUCAUCUCUCUUACCUAACACAUAUCUACCAUGACCUGAGAAGCAUAGGAUACCAUAGAACUCUCACAUGAACCCUCGAGACUCCAAAUGCAUGACACGAAUGGCUCAAGGAGUGCAAACCUAUAUAAAAAUCUCGCAAGAACCCACAAUGACAAAUAUACCCAAUAAAUAGACCUCAAAAGGUGACAUAAGUGCCCAAUGGAGCAAGAUUCCACACACAAACAUAUCAUUUCACUUUUUCUUUCUUUUUUUUUUUCUUUUUUUUUUUGUUUUUUUUGUUUUUUUGUUUUUUAUUUGUUUGUUUGUUUUUUCUUUUUUUUUAGCGCAUGCUCUGAUCAUCAAUAAGUCAAACUCCAAUGGGAAAGAUACAAGAAAUGAAUAAACUCUCUCAAAUCACUGAUGAAUACAUGAACCCCUACCCAUGAGACAACCUCUCAAACUAAAAUCUCCGAAUCAAUGCCAAAUGAUGGGAUGAAUGGAGUGAUAUGACUGCCCUCUUUACACUAAGAUGUGAAGAAUCAUCAGCCCAAGGAAGAGAAGAGAUAAAAUGAAGCAAAUAAUGAUAAAAGCAAGAAAGAGAAUGGAAAUGUGAUGAUAGCAAAAUAGAACAAACGGGGUGAUAAGAAGAUGAUGACAAAAAUGAGAAGAUAGGCCUAUAAGUCUAAAGCUCAUGAGACUUUCAUAGCAAAGCAUGCAUAUACACCAAAGGGUCCCAACCCGGGUGUAGAAAUGGUAAUCAAGGCUAUAAGAAAGAAAUAAGGCUAUAACAUACCACGUGAGGCUCAAUGGGCUAGCAACGAUUUAAUAUAUUAAUAAAGGUGAUAAGGUGUAAGGCUAAUCGAAAUGAUGGCCACCCAUCCUGCGACCAUGGUCUCAAAUGUAAUACUUCUUCAACUAAUCCACAUUGGUGGGGUUUGAGAACUGGUCUCUAUUGAUUCGUCCCUAGCAGUGGCAGUGGCAAUGGCACCAUCUGAUUCGGGGUUCGAUCCCCGGCAACGACGCCAUUUGAUUCAUGCCCAAUUGGUGUCUCAGCUGAUUCGUGUCCAGCUGGUGCUCCUUGAUUGAGGGAGUAAUCAACAAAAUUUAUAACCUAUUACACCAUAUACUAGGGUAGCAAAGACAAAGCUACUAUAGUAUAGUGGCUCUAGGAUCGUUCACUGGGAUGGGUUUUCACUUUGCAAAUGAUAUUAAUUCAAAGCUGAAUUGGUGUCUUUUCAUUUCAAGGUUAGCUUUAAAAGGAAACAUAAAGAUGUUUGAAUGAAAAAGGUUUGGUUUUAAACUAACCAAAAAUAGUAACUGAUUUUACUUAUAAAGAAAAGUGUUUCUUGGAGUUCAUAUCACUAGGCUCGUUCCUCAUACAAAAAGGAGAGUUCCGGUCACUUGUUUCUUUUCCUCGCAUUAGAGAAUUAACAUAUAGUUCCUUCUCCAACCGGUGUUGUACAGAUGCUUCCCAUUAAUGGGUUCAAACACUAAAUCCCUCUCACUGAUGCAUCUUGCAAUGGCUCAUACCUCUCACCUAGCACUUGCCAUUCAAGGUGAUCUUUAACCUUGGACUUCCCUUCUCAAGCUCGCAAGAGAUAACUAAUGGAUGUCUCCUUGGAGUCCAAAAGCUUACCAAGUGUUGGCUAUUCUAGAAAAUCCUACCUUCAAACCACCUCCCAAAGGCUCGCAAGAGAUAAACUAGUGAAUCUCCAUGGACGGAGAUCACUUGCCUUACCAAGUGUUGGCCCAGGUGAUUUAAAGACGUUUUAAGUUAACUAAAAAGAUAAAAACCAUUAACGGGUCACACUUUCUCUUCAUUAAAAACUAAAACAACAAAACUUCCAAUUUAUGCAUGUGGAAACUUACCCGGCUUUCCUCAUUCCAAGAGACAAAAAGCUUAGCCUCUCAUCCUCUGUGGAAAAAUCCUCAAAGUUUGGUUGGCUAGAAAAUGAAAAUGAAAGAGAAGACAAGAAUAUAUAUGAAAAACAGAGCAAGUGCUCUGUUCGUUGAUUCUAUAUAUGAUAUAUCUAUAUAUUGAUCGGAUUACAUAUAUGAUUCUCUUACAGUGGAUGCAAGGGAAUAUAUAUAGAGAUGUUUUUCCAACCUUCCUAACUAAGAAAUCUUAUGGUUGGUGGAUUACAAGGAGAAGAAUGGAAAUUCAUACAAAAAUAUCUGAAGAAAAGAUCUAAAAGAGUCGGUGCACAACUAUCGGGAAGCACUAAGGACCAUUUCGCAGGUGAAAACGAGGUCUGCGAGAUUUCGCAGACAUCCAAAAAGGGCUGCGAAAUCACUUCGUAGCAACAAGCUAUCCUCGCAGGGCUGCGAAGUUGGCUUUCAUCUUGAGGUGCUCAUCUUCCAGCGUGUCGCAUAUAUCGGGUAACUUCAGGAGGAAAUCCACAACACUGUGCAAAAAGGCUGCGAAAUUCUCGCAACAAAAGGCUGAUUCCGCAACACUUUGCAAAAUGCUUCCUUCAGCUUGGAGUGAUCGUCUUGCAAUGGCUGUAACUCCUUCAUUUAAACUCCAAAUCAUACACGGUUUGAAGCGUUGGAUUCUUGACUUCCUGAGCUUUCAAAUGGUAUAUAGAAUGUAGAAAAUGAACUUCGGGAAGUGCUCCAAAAGUGCGCAAGAAGACUGCAGCUGCUGUCCUCUGUUUUCCUCUUCACUCUGUUUUUCCUCUCUCCUUGCUUCUCUCCUUGCAUACUUUGAACGACUUUGGCAAAGGGCUAUGGAGCUCCAAAGCUUGGUUCUUCAUGAAUUUGAGCUUCCAAUAGCUUUGCCAUAACUUGUCCAAGUAGCUCCUCCAUCAUUUGGCAUGCUUGAAUUGAUUCAUAAGCUGAUAAAAACAUAUAAACUUGCCAUAAAAUGGUUAAAACCAAUUACUAAGGACCUUAAUGAAUUAAUUGGGUUAAAUGAAUAUGAUUAAUACUCAAAGGUGCUUAAAACCAUUAUAAUUAGGUCUACAAAAUAGCACUUUUUGGUAGUAAUCAUCUAUCCAGAUAUGUCAAUCAUAUUUCCUUUCCGGGGUCAAAUCUCUAAUGACAAGUGGUAUACUCCAAGUAAGUCCCUAGGGUCUCUUGGAAUAGAUGAAUCUCCAUGACGAUAAUCGGGCUAAUAUCAUCCUCAAACAUAUCAUCAACAUGAGUGGAAUGCCCUAACAUAAAUAAAGUGAAUCUCUCCUGAACUCUCAACGAUGAAGAUCUCAAGCAUAUUAAGAGAGUGAACUAUCUCUGGCUAAUCUGUGCUAACCAUCCAACUAUCAUCCAACAUGUCCAUCUCAGGCCCAUCAUGAAGAAAACCAUGUCAAUCAAAUCUCCCAUCUGAGAAAAACUAACGUCCUCUAUAAGAACUCUCAUCUGAUAAACUUUGACUCAUAAUCCACUAAACUCAUCAUAUGUACGAAGUCACCCUCAACAAUGUCACUGGCUAACUGGGUGGUGGGGGUGGGUGGUAAUGAAUCAUACAACAUCUCAUCCUGAAUUGGAUGCUAUCUAUCUCAUUGUCCAUCAAUUCCUUGGCUCAAACCUACUAAUGUCUCUUGAAUAGAGUCAUGGUGACUAUAAGUCAAUCAAUUGUAAUAUACUGAGGAUCCAUACCUAGCUGCUCUGAAACCCUGAUCAAUCUAUCUCCAACUCUGAUUUAAGAAGUCAAAUCCAAACUGAAGCGAAUAACACUCCUAUAAGGUACAUGACUCAUGCCCAAUUGGUGUCUCAGCUGAUUUGUGUUCAGCUGGUGCUCCUUGAUUGAGGAAGUGAUCAACAAAAUUUAUACCUAUAACACCAUACACUAGGGUAGCAAAUACAAAGCUACUAUAGUAUAGUGGCUCUAAGGAUCGUUCACUGGGAAUGAUUUGCAAGCAAUCAAGGAUACCAAUUCCAAGUGAAUUGGUCUUGUUUCAUUUCACGGUUAGCUUAAGAAGUAAAACACAAAGUUUGAUUGGUAAAGGUUUAGACUUAAACUAACUAACUUAACAGAAGUUUGGAAUAAUUUAGGAAGAAAAGCAUUCCUUGGAGAUUUAGGUUCACUGGGGUGGUUCCUCAUGCAAAAGACAUAGCUCCGGUCAGAUGGUUCAUUUCCUCGCAUUAGAGAUUCAACUUAUAGUCAAUUCUCUAACCGGUGAUGUACAGAGACUCCUUCAAUUAGAUUUCACUUUAAUUCUCUCACUGAUACAACUUGCAAUGGUUCAUGCCUCUCACGAGCACUUACCAUUCAAGGUGAUCUUUAACCUUGGAUUCCCCUUCACAAACUCGCAAGAGAUAACUAAUGGAUGUCUCCUAGGAGUCCAAAAGCUUACCAAGUGUUGGUAAUUCCAGAAAAUCCUACCUUGAAGUCACCUACCAGAGGCUCGCAAGGGGUAAACUAGUGCAUUUCCACGGUUGGAAAUCACUUGCCUUACCAAGUGUUGGCCCAGGUGACUCCAAAGUGUUUUAAGUUAACUAAAAACAUUGAAAUCACUAAAGGAUUUCACUUCCUCUUCAUUACUAGCUAAAACCACAGAGCUUUGCAUUCUUGCACUUGGAACCUUCCCCGGCAACCUUAGCUCCAAGGAAUUGGAGGUUUAGUUACUCAUUCUCUGGGGAAAACUCCUCAGAGAAUUCAUAACUUAGAAAUAAAAUGAAAAUACAAAGUGAGAAGGUAAGGCAGUAGAAAGAAAAGACCUUUUACUUACUUCCCAAAAUGUUUACAGAAGGAACUCCUCCCUGAGAACAUGCUCCCGAGAGGUAUUUAUAGCAAACUAAUAUAAAACUAAUUCUUACAAAGAUAUUUGGUCUUUUUACUAACUUAAAAACUAAGGAAUCAUGUAAUUGGUGGUUUACAAGGAGUAUUUUGGAAUUUAGACAACAAAAAUCUAAUGGAAAAUAUCUCCCAAUGUCGGUAGCAAGCUUCGGGAGGCUUCCGGAGCCAUUUCGCAGGAGAAAAGUGAGGUCUGCGAAAUUUCGCAGACACCCAAGAGGGUUGCGAAAUUAUUUCGCAAGACCAAGCUGUCUUCAUAGGGCUGCGAAGUUGGCUUCCAUCUUGAAGUUUCCAGCUCCCUUCUCGCGGCAUGGUUCGUGCAUCGUCAGAAGGAGAAACACCUUACUGUACAAAAGUGUUGCGAAAUUCUCGCAACAAAAGGCUGAUUCCGCAACACUUUAGAGUGACUGGCUUGUAAUGGCUGCAACUUCUUCGUUUCAACUCCGAAUCGUGCACCGUUUGAAGCAUUGGAUUGUUGACUUCCUGAGCUUUGAAAUGGUAUAUAGCUUGCAUCAUUUGGACUUCAGAAAGUGCUCCAAAAGUGACUGCUACGACUGUCAUCAAGAAUAUGCUUCAUGACAGAUCCUCUUUGCUUUUUCUCCUUGCAAUCCGGAUUCACUCUUGGCAAUUGAAUUCUCAACUUUGCCCAUGAUUCCUCAUAGCUCUCCUCAUUCUUGACUUGCUUUGGUGAUCACAAUACUAACAAAAACACCAAAACUUGCACAAAGUGAUCAAAAUUGCUUUAAAGGAUCCUUAACAUGCCAAUUGAGUUAAAAGGCCUAAACUACUACUCAAAAGUGUUAAAAAGGAUUAAUUAAAGGCUAUCAAAUAGCACUUUUUGAGUAGUAAUCACUCCCCCCAACCGACAUAUUGCUAGUCCCUUAGCAAUAUAGGAGAGAAAAUAAAAAAUAAAUAGCUAAUUAAUCUAAAAUUUACAACAUCAUGCUGAAAGGAAAUAAUUCUCAAGUGGCAUGAUGAUCUAAUUCUCACAUGAAUCAUUAAAGAAAUACAAACCCAAAUCUCAACAAGAGUCAUAACACUUAUGCUAAACACUGUCAAUCAAGGGAGUGCAUUAUGCAAACUGAAGUUUUAAAAUCAUUUCACUUUCUAAGAACUAAACUUCAAUCUUCCACAAAAAUCUAUGUGUAUUGGUUCCUUAGGUUCCGAGAAUAAUAUGCUAAUCUCACCCCCCAACCUAUCUCUUUUCAACACUUUAGCAAACUGACCAAAAUCAAUAAGAAAAGAACACACUUUCAUCUUCUUUUUUCUUUUUUUUCUUUUUUUUUUUUUUUUUUUUUUUUUUUUUUUUUUUUUUUUUUUUCAAGGUAGCUUUAUGGGGUACUCUUUCUGACUUGUCCAUGUAAGGGGGGUCCAUCGAUAACCCCCAACCAAUUAAGGUUUAGGGCCCCAAGUUUUAAGGAUCUUUCAACCACAAACCCCUCGAAUUUUUCCCCGGACUUUUAAAAAUGAUUUUCAAAAACCCAAGCAUCUACCAAAUGCUAACUCUACCUAUUCCCCCUUGUAACGAGCAUUGAGGUCGGUGUCCCCCAACCAAUUAAGGCUUAGGGCACCGGGUUUUAAAAAUUUUCCCCAAANNNNNNNNNNNNNNNNNNNNNNNNNNNNNNNNNNNNNNNNNNNNNNNNNNNNNNNNNNNNNNNNNNNNNNNNNNNNNNNNNNNNNNNNNNNNNNNNNNNNCAAGGUAGCUUUAUGGGGUACUCUUUCUGACUUGUCCAUGUAAUGGGGGUCCAUCGAUGACUCCCAACCAAUUAAGGUUUAGGGCACCAAGUUUUAAGGAUCUUUCAACCACUAACUCCUCGGAUUUUUCCCCGGACUUUUAAGAAUGAAUUUCUAAUACCCAAGCAUCUACCAUAUGCUAACUCUACCUAUUCACCCUUGUAACGAGCAUUGAGGUCGGUGUCUCCCAACCAAUUAAGGCUUAGGGCACCAGGCUUUAAAGAUUUUCACCAUAUACCCCUCAGACCUUGCUCGGGUUUCAAGGCAAGCAAACAAAUUUCUUUAUUUCAAAGGCUCAUUGGCCUUUUGCAGGGUGUUUCAAUUUUUAUCAAAUGAGGUCAAAUAUACCAAGUCUCAAAAUUAUUCUAAGUCAAGAGGGAAAUAGUUUUUCAUCUUAUAAUCGGAAACUAAUGUGCACAGUGUGUGGAUAGCUUAAAGUGGAAGAACUAAAUUCAAUCACAGUAGAAGUUUCAACAAUUGGACCACUUUAGUAAGCAUAAUCCAUACUCUAAGUCAAGUGAAAAACAACAGUUCAAUUUCUCUUGGUUUAAUUUUGAAAAUUUUCCUCAAAAUUCAUGGAGAAUAGAGUAACACUAGAGUAAAAAGUAAAAACUACAACUAAUUAACCAAUAUAAUUGCAAUACCAAAAAGAUUUAGAAUACUUCCUUCCUCAUACCCCCCAACCGAACUGAGCAUUGUCCUCAAUGUGAUUUGAGUGACUGUAAUCAAAGGGAGGAAGUGGUACCUCCUUGCUGAUAUCAAAUUCGAAUAUUGAUUGGGGAAAACCACAUGUUUCAAAAAGAAUAGAAUAUGUGAGAAAAGGAAAUAAGGAAACUUUAAUGCUAACUUUUAACAAGAAAUAUUCAACUUAUAUUACUUUGAGUUCAUUUGAUUACAAUGCUAAAGACAAGUAACACAAGGAAUCCCAUAUAUAGUACCAAAAUACUGGGAUUUCAUUUUAACUAAAACAAAACAAACAUGCAUAAAAACAUAAACAGCAAAUAUAUAUAAUGGUUGAUGAGUGGGGUGAUGGUGCUAAGCAGAAGGAUCUGCCUCCUCUGUAGGUGGAUCAGCUGGGACCUCGGGCUCUGGAGGUUGAGACUCUGAAGGUUGAGAGUGUGGCUCUGGUGGAGUCUCAGUGGAGGGCUCUACAGCUUGUGGCAGAUCGAAAUGGACUUGAAGCUGCCUUAGGAUGGCAGCUUGUUGAGCCUGAGAGGCUAACAUCUGCUCCUGGCAUGCUUUGAUGGCUGCCAACUCCUGAGCAAGAUUGCUCUGGGAAGCUGUAAGAGUCUCCAAUGCACGGCACAGCUCUCGAUAUUCAGAUAUAGGGAUGGCCAUCCUAGGCUCAGCUGAUGUGGAUGGCUGUGAUGGAGCAGGUGCAGGUGCAGGUGCAGCUGGUGGAGCUCGAGGGAUGGCAGGAGUAGCAAGUGUUAUACCUUCAGGUGGAUGUCUUGGGGAGGCUCUCCUUGCAGCUGGCUGAGGCUGCCCAGGCUGAUCAAUUUUGUAGGCCGUCAUAUUAUUCCAUUUAUCAAGGGUAAAUGGCUCACGGCAUAUUCUCUUUCUUUCCUGCUGAGGCUCAGAGGGGUAUCCGAGAUGCUCCAAAACUUGGCAUAGCAGCCUUGGGAAGAGGAGUGGAAUGCAAUCUGCUCUUUGAAGCUUCUUCUUGUGAACCUUCUCCUCAAAGUAUAGAAGGGCUGCCAUGAUCAGAUGAUGAGGCCCAAAGAAGAAUCCUUCUGACAUUUUGUACAAGGCUUCCAGGAGAAUUCCCCUUCUUUGGGUCCAAUGCUGCAGGGGAUAGAUAUUAUGCCUCAAAAAGGCAUCAAUCAAAAACAUCACUGGAGGUAGCUCCCCCCUCAACAGGUGUGAUCGAUUGGCAGCUCCUCUGGACAGGGUGCUAACCAUCUCUAGCUCAGUUGGAUUUGUCCAAGCUUUAAAAUUGUCGAAUUGGGUUGGCUCAAAAGGAAUUUGCAGGGCUUCAGCAAUAUGUCUUGCUCCCAAAAUACCAUGCCUUCCAUCAAUAAUAAAAUGAAUCAAGGUUGGAUUUCUUACUUCUUUGGUUGUCAUGGUCUGGUAGAAAUCAGUGACUACCCGAGGAUAGAAAAAAUCCCUUGGAGCUAACAGAUGCUCCAUAUGAUAUCUCCUCAGCAGCUGGAAGGAUUGGGCAAGCUCUGGCCUUACUCUAAAUGUUGCUAAAUCGAAGCACAAUUCAGAAUGGAAUGCCCGAGUUCGACAAUCCAAGUUUCCUUCGAUUGGGGGCUGAGGCAGCAUUGGCCUUCGGAUCACUUCUUCCAGAGGUGCUUCAGCUGCAAUUUGGGGCUCUGGAAUUGGCGCUUGAGGCUCCUGAGCUUUUUCUUGGGGUGCCGGAGAUGGUACCGGCGAUGGAAUUGGAGUUGCUUCUGGUGAGGGAAUUGGCGAGGCUACCGGUGACGGCACUGGAAUUUGUACCGGUGAAGGAUUUGGUGAUUUCUCAGGGGAUUGCUCAGUCAAAUCAAUUGGUUUAGAGCUCUCAACCCUGGCUUUCUUCUUCAAUGGCUGACCACCUGACCUGGUUAAAUAUCGCCUUGCUGGCGGCUUUGGUGGCGCCGGCUUCACUGGAGGAGGAUUUGGUCUCGACGGCGAAGGCUUUGGAGCAGGUUCUGGAACCGAACCUGGGCUUGGCUCCUUUCGCAGACUCCUUUUGCGGUUCGAAGGGGAUGAAGACUUUGCCCCUCGCGUUCGUGCCAUUUUGGAAUAUCGAUCUUUGGCCGGCGCUGCUAAACGGAGAAGACGACGGGAGACACGGACGGCGCGGCUUGGUGAAGAAGACGAAGGGGCUGCGAGAAUGGUGCUCUGAUUUUUGAAACCCUUUUCGCAGCACUUUUGACCGGUAUAAAUAGAAAAAACGGAAGCCCAGGGGUCAAUUUAAGUUUCGCAACAAAACGGCAAUUUCGCAGCAACUUGCCAUUUUCGCAGCAACUUCGCAGUGAGUUUCGCAGCUGCGAAAUUGAUGUCACUGUGCUGCGAAGUGGCACUCGUGUGCCAAAACCACUUUCGCAAUUGCGAAAUGCUCUGCGGAAUGGGACUUUUGGUGCGAAAUCAGGCUUUACCAUUUCGCAAUGAGUUUCGCAGCUGCGAAACGGAUGCUACUGUUCUGCGAAGUGGCACUCGUGUGCCAAAUUCACUUUCGCAGCUGCGAAAUACACUCGCAGAGACUUCUACAGUGCUGCGGAAUGGUUUGGCAGCAAAAUGCCGAUUUCGCAGAGGUUUCCUUCACCCUGCGAAAUUUCGCAGAGCUCUGUUUCUCCCCUGUUUCUGCUCUGUUUCGGCUCCAAUUUCGACCCGAUUUUUUUCUUUUCAAUCCCCUUGAAAUUUCUUCCACCUGGGAUCAUAUAAAACGAUUAAAACACACCUAAAAACAUGAUUUAAAAUCAAAAACUAAGAUCAAAAGCAUGGAAAGAACUUGAAAAUUUACAAAAUUUACAAAAAUUUUGGACUGUGGUUAAACCACGUCCAGCAAACCCAUUUCACUUAGGCUUUUUGAGGUUCAAGGAGGUUGAUUGCCUCCUUUUCUGAUUUGAAUGACUCCAUGAACGGCUUAAGACGAUAUCCAUUGACUCUAAAGCUGUCCUUGCCAUUGGAAUUCAAUAAGUCCACCACUCCAUUGGAAUAUACUCGGUGAAUAACAAAUGGACCAAUCCACCUUGACUUGAGCUUCCCAGGAAAGAUAUGGAGUCUUGUGUCAUACAUCAAAACUUUUUGCCCUUCCUGAAAUUCCUUGUUGGAGAUGAGUUGAUCAUGCCACUUCUUCAUCCUCUGUUUUGCAACUUUGGAAUUGAUAUAAGCAUUAUUUCUCAAUUCCUCCAUCUCAUUAAGGUCUAGAAAUCUCUUUUCUCCUGCCUUAAUCAGAUCCAUGUUCAGCUUCUUUAUGGCCCACCAAGCUUUGUAUUCAACUUCCACAGGGAGAUGGCAUGCUUUGCCAUAGACAAGACGAUAGGGAGACAUCCCUAGAAUAGUCUUAUAAGCUGUUCUAUAUGCCCACAAUGAAUCAUGAAGCCUAAUAGACCAAUCCUUCCUGUUGGAAUUCACCACUUUCAUCAAGAUAUUCUUUAUUUCCCUGUUAGCUAGCUCAACUUGCCCGGAAGUCUGAGGAUGAUAAGGUGUGGCCACCUUAUGCUUCACUCCAUACUUGGAUAACAGAGCUUCAAAAGGUUUGUUGCAAAAAUGAGCUCCUCCAUCACUGAUUAUGGCCUUGGGCACCCCAAAUCUUGAGAAAAUGUUCUCUUUAAGAAACUUGAGAACCACCCUGUGAUCAUUUUGCUUACAGGGGAUUGCCUCAACCCAUUUAGAAACAUAAUCUACCCCCACCAAGAUGUAAGAAUUACCAAAAGACAUUGGGAAAGGUCCCAUGAAGUCAAUGCCCCAUACNNNNNNNNNNNNNNNNNNNNNNNNNNNNNNNNNNNNNNNNNNNNNNNNNNNNNNNNNNNNNNNNNNNNNNNNNNNNNNNNNNNNNNNNNNNNNNNNNNNNNNNNNNNNNNNNNNNNNNNNNNNNNNNNNNNNNNNNNNNNNNNNNNNNNNNNNNNNNNNNNNNNNNNNNNNNNNNNNNNNNNNNNNNNNNNNNNNNNNNNNNNNNNNNNNNNNNNNNNNNNNNNNNNNNNNNNNNNNNNNNNNNNNNNNNNNNNNNNNNNNNNNNNNNNNNNNNNNNNNNNNNNNNNNNNNNNNNNNNNNNNNNNNNNNNNNNNNNNNNNNNNNNNNNNNNNNNNNNNNNNNNNNNNNNNNNNNNNNNNNNNNNNNNNNNNNNNNNNNNNNNNNNNNNNNNNNNNNNNNNNNNNNNNNNNNNNNNNNNNNNNNNNNNNNNNNNNNNNNNNNNNNNNNNNCUAGCAAGGCUUUCUCCACUACCUUUCCUCCAAUCAUGACUGAAAUGGUAGGACUUCCAGGGUCUUUAUACUUCAAAGGAGACUUACACUGUAAGAUUGCACUUACUUGCUCAGUCAAGAAGGCUUUCUUGUUUACAGUCAACCCUCUUUUGAUAGUACACAAGUCCUUUAGGAAUUUUGCAUACGUUGGAACUUGUUUGAUCAUAUCCAGCAGUGGAAUAUUAACUUUCACUUGCCUCAAUACUUCCAGGAUUUCAGCUGCAUUUCUAACCCCCUUUUUCCCAUGUAAUGCUUGAGGAAAAGGUGGAGAAGUUGAUUUCUUCAGCAUUUCUUCCUUCAGAAGCUCUUUCUCUGGAAUUGCUUUGAUUGUUGAAUCAGAUUCCUUCUUUUCUUCACUGAUCUCACUGCCUUUAUCUUCCAUUUCCUUCCCUUUCUUUAUCUCUUCUUCUUUCUCAACAUGUGGCUUAGGUGUUGGCUGCUCAAUUUUCUUACCACUCCUUAGAGUGAUCAAGGCUUUGACAUCUUUCACCUGUGAUGAUUCUCCCUCAAGGCUUUCUACUUCAUGGACACCUUUGGGAUUUUGGUUAGGUUGAGAAGGAAAUCUUCCCUUUUCUUGCAGUGUAUUCAAAUUUGUAAGCCUGGAGAUUGAAUAUUGGAUGUUAUCAAAUUUUUGAUUCAUAUCAUUUUGCAUUCCAUCCAUUCUUUUGUUCAACAUACUCUCCAUUCUAUCCAUUCUUUGAUCAACUCUGUCCAUUCUUUGAUCCACUCGAGCAUUGGUGGCUUCUUGCUUUCCCACAAAAUCUCCCACUACCUUGCUGAGAUUAGCUAUUAUUUGUUCAAUACUUGAAGAUUGCUGAGAUGGUGGAUCCGGCUGUUGGUAUUGAGUUGCUCUGGCCUUCCAUGAGAAAUUUGGAUGAUUCCUCCAACUUGAAUUGUAGGUAUUUCCAUAAGGAGCAUUGUUAUUGGGCCUAAAUUGUCCAACAACAUUUGCUUGAUCUCUAUACAUUUCCCUUUCAACUGAAAUUGCAGGGCAUUCCUCUACCAAAUGUUCAAACGAUUGACAAUUGGGACACAACUUCACUUGCACUGGUGCUUCAGCAACAGCUUGCACUUCAUGUAUUCUUUUCAGCUCCAGCUCCUCCAAUCUUCUUGUCAUAGCUGCCAACUUUGCUUUCAUGUCAUCAUCUUCUUUUAAAUUAUACAUCCCAGCUUUUGCAUUGUAAGCAUUCAACUGAGACUUCAUCUUUCCCACUUCUCCUUUAGUUGGUUCAUCCCAUCCCCUUGAAACAUCAACUACAUAGCUCAAGAAAUCCAUAGCUUCCUCUGGAUUUUUGCUCAUGAAAUCUCCUCCACACAUUGUCUCGAGGAGUUGCUUCAUUGAGGAGGACAUACCAUCAUAGAAAUAACUCACCAAUAGCCAAGUAUCAAAGCCAUGGUGAGGACAAGCAUUUAUAGCUUCCAUGUAUCUUUCCCAACACUCAUAGAAUUUCUCAUUCUCUUUAGCUGAGAAGUUUGAAAUUUGCCUUUUCAAGCCAUUUGUUCUAUGAGUAGGAAAAAAUUUCUUAAGGAACUCAGCUUGUAAAUCAGUCCAAGAGCGGAUACUCCUUGGCCUUAAAGAAUUAAGCCAAAUUUUGGCCUUAUCCUUUAAAGUAAAAGGAAAUAACUUAAGCCUCAUCAAGUCAAUUGAAGCUCCUCCCUCUUGGAAUGUAUUACAAACAUCUUCAAAUUCCUUGAUGUGUGCAUACGGAUUCUCACUUUCCAUCCCAUGGAAAGUUGGUAGAAGUGGAACAAGAUACGGUCUGAUCACUAGCUGCUCUGUAGGGGGCACUAUACAUGAUGGUGCACUCAUACGAGGUGGAUGCAUACGGUCCCUCAUUGAUCUGAAUUCAUUGAGAUUGUCUUGACGACCUUGGUGACUAUGCUGAUCUUCAGGUGCAGCCUCCAUGAUAUUCAAGAUUACUUCAAAUUCUCCUUUCUGAGGUGUAUCACACUUAACAAGCCUACCUCCAAUGUCUCGUAUCCACUUGGGCAUACACAACUAGUAUUCAGCUGCAACUAAAAUGAAAACAGAGGACAACAAGAACAGAGGACUACAAUAGCAAAAUUAAACUAGACUAAAAUUUAAAGAGAUAAACUUAGAUUAUAAAUAAACAAAGAAAGAAUGAAAAUUAGUAAAGUGAAAGAAACUUUACCAACUUGUGAUGAAAAUCACAAGUGCUCAACAAUGGUAUCACAAUGAACUUGACACUCAUUCCCCGGCAACGGCGCCAUUUGACUCAUGCCCAAUUGGUGUCUCAGCUGAUUUGUGUUCAGCUGGUGCUCCUUGAUUGAGGAAGUGAUCAACAAAAUUUAUACCUAUAACACCAUACACUAGGGUAGCAAAUACAAAGCUACUAUAGUAUAGUGGCUCUAAGGAUCGUUCACUGGGAAUGAUUUGCAAGCAAUCAAGGAUACCAAUUCCAAGUGAAUUGGUCUUGUUUCAUUUCACGGUUAGCUUAAGAAGUAAAACACAAAGUUUGAUUGGUAAAGGUUUAGACUUAAACUAACUAACUUAACAGAAGUUUGGAAUAAUUUAGGAAGAAAAGCAUUCCUUGGAGAUUUAGGUUCACUGGGGUGGUUCCUCAUGCAAAAGACAUAGCUCCGGUCAGAUGGUUCAUUUCCUCGCAUUAGAGAUUCAACUUANNNNNNNNNNNNNNNNNNNNNNNNNNNNNNNNNNNNNNNNNNNNNNNNNNNNNNNNNNNNNNNNNNNNNNNNNNNNNNNNNNNNNNNNNNNNNNNNNNNNGUGAUGUACAGAGACUCCUUCAAUUAGAUUUCACUUUAAUUCUCUCACUGAUACAACUUGCAAUGGUUCAUGCCUCUCACGAGCACUUACCAUUCAAGGUGAUCUUUAACCUUGGAUUCCCCUUCACAAACUCGCAAGAGAUAACUAAUGGAUGUCUCCUAGGAGUCCAAAAGCUUACCAAGUGUUGGUAAUUCCAGAAAAUCCUACCUUGAAGUCACCUACUAGAGGCUCGCAAGGGGUAAACUAGUGCAUUUCCACGGUUGGAAAUCACUUGCCUUACCAAGUGUUGGCCCAGGUGACUCCAAAGUGUUUUAAGUUAACUAAAAACAUUGAAAUCACUAAAGGAUUUCACUUCCUCUUCAUUACUAGCUAAAACCACAGAGCUUUGCAUUCUUGCACUUGGAACCUUCCCCGGCAACCUUAGCUCCAAGGAAUUGGAGGUUUAGUUACUCAUUCUCUGGGGAAAACUCCUCAGAGAAUUCAUAACUUAGAAAUAAAAUGAAAAUACAAAGUGAGAAGGUAAGGCAGUAGAAAGAAAAGACCUUUUACUUACUUCCCAAAAUGUUUACAGAAGGAACUCCUCCCUGAGAACAUGCUCCCGAGAGGUAUUUAUAGCAAACUAAUAUAAAACUAAUUCUUACAAAGAUAUUUGGUCUUUUUACUAACUUAAAAACUAAGGAAUCAUGUAAUUGGUGGUUUACAAGGAGUAUUUUGGAAUUUAGACAACAAAAAUCUAAUGGAAAAUAUCUCCCAAUGUCGGUAGCAAGCUUCGGGAGGCUUCCGGAGCCAUUUCGCAGGAGAAAAGUGAGGUCUGCGAAAUUUCGCAGACACCCAAGAGGGUUGCGAAAUUAUUUCGCAAGACCAAGCUGUCUUCAUAGGGCUGCGAAGUUGGCUUCCAUCUUGAAGUUUCCAGCUCCCUUCUCGCGGCAUGGUUCGUGCAUCGUCAGAAGGAGAAACACCUUACUGUACAAAAGUGUUGCGAAAUUCUCGCAACAAAAGGCUGAUUCCGCAACACUUUAGAGUGACUGGCUUGUAAUGGCUGCAACUUCUUCGUUUCAACUCCGAAUCGUGCACCGUUUGAAGCAUUGGAUUGUUGACUUCCUGAGCUUUGAAAUGGUAUAUAGCUUGCAUCAUUUGGACUUCAGAAAGUGCUCCAAAAGUGACUGCUACGACUGUCAUCAAGAAUAUGCUUCAUGACAGAUCCUCUUUGCUUUUUCUCCUUGCAAUCCGGAUUCACUCUUGGCAAUUGAAUUCUCAACUUUGCCCAUGAUUCCUCAUAGCUCUCCUCAUUCUUGACUUGCUUUGGUGAUCACAAUACUAACAAAAACACCAAAACUUGCACAAAGUGAUCAAAAUUGCUUUAAAGGAUCCUUAACAUGCCAAUUGAGUUAAAAGGCCUAAACUACUACUCAAAAGUGUUAAAAAGGAUUAAUUAAAGGCUAUCAAAUAGCACUUUUUGAGUAGUAAUCACUCCCCCCAACCGACAUAUUGCUAGUCCCUUAGCAAUAUAGGAGAGAAAAUAAAAAAUAAAUAGCUAAUUAAUCUAAAAUUUACAACAUCAUGCUGAAAGGAAAUAAUUCUCAAGUGGCAUGAUGAUCUAAUUCUCACAUGAAUCAUUAAAGAAAUACAAACCCAAAUCUCAACAAGAGUCAUAACACUUAUGCUAAACACUGUCAAUCAAGGGAGUGCAUUAUGCAAACUGAAGUUUUAAAAUCAUUUCACUUUCUAAGAACUAAACUUCAUCUUCCACAAAAAUCUAUGUGUAUUGGUUCCUUAGUCCGAGAUAAUAUGCUAAUCUCACCCCCCAACCUAUCUCUUUCAACACUUUAGCAAACUGACCNNNNNNNNNNNNNNNNNNNNNNNNNNNNNNNNNNNNNNNNNNNNNNNNNNNNNNNNNNNNNNNNNNNNNNNNNNNNNNNNNNNNNNNNNNNNNNNNNNNNUCCAAAAGUGACUGCUACGACUGUCAUCAAGAAUAUGCUUCAUGACAGAUCCUCUUUGCUUUUUCUCCUUGCAAUCCGGAUUCACUCUUGGCAAUUGAAUUCUCAACUUUGCCCAUGAUUCCUCAUAGCUCUCCUCAUUCUUGACUUGCUUUGGUGAUCACAAUACUAACAAAAACACCAAAACUUGCACAAAGUGAUCAAAAUUGCUUUAAAGGAUCCUUAACAUGCCAAUUGAGUUAAAAGGCCUAAACUACUACUCAAAAGUGUUAAAAAGGAUUAAUUAAAGGCUAUCAAAUAGCACUUUUUGAGUAGUAAUCAGUACAAAGGCAUGAAAAGAGAAAUGACAUGAAGGAAGCUCAAAAGAUGUGGAAACGUACUAAUCACAAUGCGGAAAGGUGGCCUAACUAAAACUCAAACAUGUACCAAUCUCUGAGCACACCAAAAGGAGACCAUGAAGAGGAUAACUGAACCCAAUUAUGACCAAGGCAGCUCUGAAGGUCCACAGAUGCACCCAUGUGUAGGAAUAAAAUCUUAAUUGGAUCUAGGCUAGCUUACAAGGUUGAGGUGGCUCUAUAGGAUAAAAUAGGUGGGUUAAAGGAUCCCUAGUAGAAGCGAUCGUACCCUCCGGUGGUACGCAACCCUCUGCACGCCUCCAAGGAGACGGGGUGCUUCCAUGCAAGGUGGUCAUCACCUCCACACAUGCACUGCCUCGCGUUCCCAGGGGGUUUCUUAAUGGUGAAGGCUCUCUAAUCUCUCAAUACUCAAGGAUAAUCUAAAGUGCACAAUGAAGGAUGUGGGUGCAUCCGAAAAACUUAAGAUUUAAAGUGAGAUAGUGAACGAAGACAAGCAAUCAUACGAACAUGCAAGAGAAAAGGUUGUCAUGCAACAAGCAGUCAUGCGAAGCAGAUAAAUAUCAAACAAUCAAAGUCCUAUCUAGCAUAUGUGAGAGUGAAUCAUGCUAAAGUGAACAAACAGUUAAGUGAUCACAUCAAACAGUCAUGCGAAGCAAAUAAAUAUCAAACAAACAAAGUCCUAUCUAACAUAUGUGAGAGUGAAUCAUGCUAAAGUGAGCAAAACAAUCAAGUGAUCAUCUAAGGCAAUCAAACAUGUUAAGAUAGCAAACCAAACAAGCAAGCAAAUCGAAUCACCUUGCCUGAAAAAAAAAAGGUACCCACUAAUCGACCAAUUAAACGCCACAUUUUCCUUAACUAGUGUUCAAGCUUGAUCAUCAAAGUCCCCAGCGGAGUCGCCAAUUUGUGGACCCACAUUUUUCACUUGCGUCCCCACUCGAUCGACGAGACUAGCUUUUUAUUUGUGAAAAAAUAUUUAGUUUUGGAAAAGUUGGAGCCGCCACUUAUUUUAUUUUUAUUUUAAAAGGAAAAUAAAACAAGAAAGAAAAACCCUAAAAUGUGACUCUAUAAUUUUUGGAAAAGCAUGUCUUUGAAAAACCCGAGUCCAGGUCCGGGGUUCAGGUUACUUAUUGGGAAGGUACCUCUAGGAGAUAGCACCCCUCUAAGCCCUAAAGAGGUCUUUACUGACUAAAUUGGGGAAAUGGGGCAAUUAAUUGAUUAAUUGUAGAUACCUAAGUAAGCUAGGUGAUUUCAGAAAGUAGCAUACUAAAUAAGGAGAUCAAUCAGAAUAAAGGAGAGUUAGAGUGCGUACCUGAACCACUUCUUAAGCGUUAUCAUAAAACAUCAAUGGUUAAUUCAGAAGUAUGACACACGACAUGCAUUUUAUUAAGGAUGAUGAAACAAGCAUUGAGACAAUCAAGUAUGGCAUCAAACAAGGGCAAUGACACAUAUUCAUGAAAUUUUGGGAACGUACCUAGAUAGCAUAUAUAACUCCUAAUGCGCUUCCUCAGGACAUGGGGGUUAGAUAAUAAAUAAUAAAUAAUAAAUAAUGAAUAAUAAAUCCUAGCAUGCUUAUCUAAUUAAUUAGCAAAAAUUAUCAGAAUUCAGAAUAAUUAAUUAUCAUACAUAUCUUGCAUACAAUUCCCAAAAAGAAAAAAUGUAAAUAUGAUUACAAUAAAUAGCAAGGUGGUAGCAAAAAAUAAAUUUUGAAAAAGAUUUUCUUAUGUAGGGGUUUCACCAAUUCCCCAAAUUAAUAUACACGAAUUUAGCCUAAAAUUGUCCCAUUUAUUUGGGACCACAAGCUUUGAUUCGCGUUUUGUUUAAAACCAAAAUUUUUGUUGAAAAUUGAGAAGGAUGCAAACCGAUCGAAAUAUGGUUGCUAAUUUUAAGAAAAUGAGAUUUUUUAUUUAUUUAUUCUAAGGACUCUAAAUGAAUUUUUUUUAAAUAGAUUUUUAAAGGGAUCUUUUAAGAAAAGUGUUGGAUUUCAAAAUAAAAGAAAUUAAUUUGAAAACGACAAGACAUAAGGAACAAAAUACCAAGCAAAACAAAAGUGAUUAAAAUUGCAAAGUAGAGUUUUUGACAACUGAGAAAAUUGAAGUGGUGGGAAUGGAGGUCAAUCUUCACUAUUUUCCGAUGGCCUCCAAAAAGUAAAUUUUACCAUAGACUACCAAAGCAAUAAACUAUUCGAACUUAGAUCAUAUAAGCUAACGAUAUACCCACCAAGAAUUAAUGACUAUUUUCGAGAAACACAUCAAUUAAAAAUAACAAUCAAGAAUUAGCACAUGAUCAAUCAAACACACAAACGCAUCUAGACUGGUUAAAAUGGACAAAAUUAAGUCAAGGCAAAUGUGAAUUUUCAGUCAUAAAAUUAAUUUUAUUAAUAAGCUAAUAUUAUAGAAAAUACCUAAACUAAAUAGAUGAGUGAAGCCAAAUCAGAGUAAACUAAAAGCAUGAACUUUCAAAUAUAGAAUCAAUUUUAUUAAUGAAUUAAAACUAUAAAAGUACCUAAACUAAUCAAAAUGAACCAAAUUAAAUUGAAGCAAGCUAAAAAAAAAGGUGAGCUUUCGAACAUGGGAUUAAUUUUAUUAAUAAACUAAAAUUAUAAAAUUACCUAAACUAAUUAAAAUGAACAAAAUUAAAUAAAAGAAAACUAAAAGUAAGAACUUUCAAACAUGGAAUUAUUUUUUUCAAUGAUCUAAAACUACAAAAGUAUUUAAACUAAAUAGAUGAGUUUAAUUUAACCAAGGUAGAAUAAAAGAAACAUGAUUUUUUCACAUAAAAUUGAUUAAACCAAAAAGUUAGAAACUCACAAACACAUCUAAACUAAAAGAAAAAUCAACACUAAAGUAAAUUGAAAUGAAAAAAUAAGAACUUUAUCAUGUAGAAUUAAUUAAACUAAUUAUAAAAAAAACAUCUAAACUAACGAAAUAAAUUAAAAUUAAACUAAAAUAAAAUUUAAAAAAAGAAAAAGAAACUUGCCUUCAAGAAUGCAUAUUGCUGAAUCUGUUGUAGGAAGACCGCUCUUGGAUGCGUGUUGUUCUUUGCGUGUUUCAGAAAAUCAUCUCUUAAUGCGUGGCUUAUGUGGUGGCCAUCUUCCUCUUUCCAUAAGAUACAAUUCCAUAAGUACCCGAACCAAGUUCUUUUAUGUAUUCCAGGUCAGAAUUUUAUUUUAUUUUUUAUAAUCUGCAGCACUCUAGUGGCUAGAAGAGAAUAAAAUAUGGCCUGGUUGUGUAGUUGACAAUGAUGGGAAUUGGAGGAUUCAUCGUUUUCAAAGAUGCAUGGAUGGAUGGGCUGCUGUCCAGAUGGUUCCGUCAGUGAGUUCAAACAGCCGCCUCUUUGCUCUCAAAUCUCCUUGCACUGAUCCCUUCAAAACAGCCCCUCUCACACUCUCUAAACUCUCUCUUUUAUAUCCCUUGAAAUAGCCUCUCGCAUGCUCUCAAAACUCUCUCUUCGGAUCAUCUCAAAUAGCAGCUCCUCACGCUCUGAAAAUGCGGACUGAUCUUUGUGCGAACAACAGCCUAUGAUCCCUUCAAAAUGCCAACUAAUCUCCUCCCAAACGGCAUCCUCAAAGGCUCUAAAAAAUCCCUCAUCUGAUCACUUCAAACAGCAGCCUCUCAUGCUUCAAAACGCAGGCUGAUCCCUUCCAAACAGUCGCCUCCUCCUUUAUAUGGCGGUUUCACUCUAAUAUUUCUUUCCUUUUCGUCGAUGCACGUGAUAUAGGAAAGUGCAUAGAUGUGGUUCACAUUGGAGAUUUCCCAAGGAUGCAGCCGCAUGUUGUUUGGUAAGUCAUUAGAUCAGUUGACUUUUCUUUCGAAAAAAAACCCAAAGGAAUCUCCCUUACAGCCCACUAUAUGCGUGCUGUGUGGCCACUUCCUUCCUAUUUUGGUUUUCCUUGAUAAAUUAUCCACCUUGUCAUCUCUAAGUAACGCAUGGCACCCAGAGUGCUCCUUCUCAAGUAGUUGGUUUGCAAAUACUGACAGCAACUCAUUCUGGACUUUCUCAAGCAGCUUUGGUUCACUUCUAUCCUCGGCAGAAUAUGAAGUUUUUAAUCUUGAAUUGACUGCUACUGUGGGGGCUUCAGGCUGAUCCUUCAACCCAGAAUUAGAUGAUGAGUCCACUAAAUUCUCACUAUUUGUCACAGCAACAUCAAUGGCAGAGUUAAAAUCAUCAACUUGAUCCUGUUUCUUCAACUCCUCAUAACUAUCAAUAAUCUCCUGUGCUGCACGAACAAAAUCAGCACCUUUUCCUUGACAUUUGGUAAGAAGAGAUUCUUUUUUCUCUUCUAUAUCAGAAUCUUCGUCAUCGAAGAACCAAUCUUCAUCCUCAUUCCAAGGGUCUGCUCCAAAAUCAAGGCUUUAGGAUUUAAUAUCUUUUGGUACUUCAAACCGGACAACCCCAUCUUUAACAGUAGCAAGCUCUCUCAAUAAUUUCCUCAUGCAAAAUAGAAUAAAAUUAAAUUGAAAAUAAAAAUAAAAUAAAAAUUAGAAGAAAAGAGAAUAAACUAAUGGAAAUCAUGAGAUUGGUAAUAAAAUAAAAUAUGAUUUAAAAGAAAAGAAAGAGAACAAUGAGAGACUAGAUUAUAUAUCCAUCAUUCAAUAAGGGGGCUAUAUGCACAUUUUGGAGUCUAAACAAUUCAAGCAAUUUCCUAUUAGAUAAGUGAAUAAAUAAAAUAAAAAUAAAAAUAAAAAUUGUAAUAGUAAUAAUAAUGACAAUGAUAAUAAUAAACAAAUAAAGAGUAAAAAAUGAAAAUGAAUAAACAAAAUAAAUAUAAUUAUCGAAUACAUGCAAUAAUAAUAAUAAUAAUAAUAAUAAAAGUUAUCUAUAUAUAUACAUAUAAAAGUUAAGCCCGAUGAAGUGUUUAAACGGGCUUACAUGGGUGCCUAAUGAACUAAGUGUCCUAAAGUGAUCGGGAUAUUGUCUAAGUGACCUAAACAUGCUUAAGAACUAUCCUAAAAAGGAAUGGAAAGCUUAAGUCUAAAUCAAAACUGCCAAGGGUCACAAUAAAGGGGUUAGGCAAUCCCUUAACUAGAGUCUCCAAGGUGGCUCAAGAAAGGUAAGUAGCGUGAGUAGAUAUGGGCCACCAAGGAGCUAACUGUAAAGUAUCGACCAAGUAUCUAAUAGGACAUGUGCUAGGAGGACAAAAUUGAGGGUCAACAAAUAUGCCCCUCUUCGGUAGAGAUCACGAGUGUAAGGAAUGUGAGUAAAAAAAAUAAAAAUAAAAACGAAUAAUGAGAGGAACGAAGUGAACUAUACCGAAGAACUAAAGAAGGACCAAAUAUUUUGUCUUAGUACAUGGCGAGAGUAAGGUCGGAACAUGGGUCUGCAACGACAAUGAUGGAACAACUCUACGUGGGGGAAUGGCAGUAAAGAGAGAAAGUAUGUGAUGAGUAGCACAAAGAUGGAAAGAGAUGAAAAUGAUGACUCAAAGUUAUGGAUGAGAUGAAUAACUCUAGAUCAUGGACAAGAUGAACGACGCUGGGUCAAAAAUAGGACAAACGACUCUAGGUCGGAAAUAGGAUGAACGACUCUGGGUCGGAAAUAGGAUGAACGACUCUAGGUCGGAAAUAGGAUGAACGACUCUGGGUCGUAAACAGGCUGUCAAUUGCCAUGAUUCACCAAGCUACUAUAGUACAUGGACUCUGAACCUUGAGAGGAUAUUGAGUUUAUGUCAAAAUUAAUAGGAGGCUUUGACUUAUGGGUGAGACCCUAAAGUGGUUAUAUAUUCCUAUGGAUUAGGUCACUAUUGAUGAAGGCUGGUGGCAAUAGGUAUUCUCAAUAGAGGCACUAUAUCUCAUGGGAUUAAGACAAUGUAUCCCCUUGGGUGAUCUAAAGGACAUGUGAUCAUGAAAUUUGUGACCACAGUAAUUCCUUUAGUGGAAUUUGACAUAUGCUUCUUUGAGCUAGAGUAUGUCAUUUGAUCACAUAAUAAGUGAGAUCUAUAACUUAAGGAUUUGAGAGGUAAUCUUGAUAGCUUACAGACUUGAGUACUAGGUACCUUAUAAUAAUUAAACUAACAAAAUUACCUUACAAAGUCUACUUGAAUUUAGACAAUUUGUAAGAUCAUAAAAGCAAAUUUUAUGGGAUGAAACUAGGUGUUUCUUCUUGGGUUAUAGCCUAUAUUAUUUUAAAUAAAUAAAUCUGGUCUUCACAUGUAUUCAAAAUAGCAUUUAACGUUCCAGAUUUCAAAAAUAACAUUAAAAAAAAAUUAAGGUGAUACAACUAUGCAAGAACAUAUAUCAUAAAAAAAGAGUAAGAAGACAUAUUAGAGAUUUUACAUCAAUGAAACAUCUUUAUAGAUAUUGGGUAAUUUAUUUGAUAAAUUUAAUUAUUAACAAUUAUUUAAAAAGCAAACAAUAAUUAAAGAAAUUAUAAUUAAGUUUGAUAAUUAAAUUUUAUUAGAUAACUUAAUAAAAAAUUUCACUUCUUGAGUGAAAAAUUACAAUAUUGAAUGAGAUGAAAUUAGACCACUCUAGCUUACUCAUAGCUUGAGUAAAUUGAAUCUAGCUCAUGCUCUAGCCUCGUAGAGACAACCUUUAUCUAAUAGAACAAAAAUAAGAUGGUAUUAUUUAUUUUUGGAUAACUAUAUAUAACAAAGCAUUGAAAUUGUGAUAAAUUUAUAUGAUGUAAUCUUCCAUAUUUUUAAUAUUUUAUUAUUAUUAUUUAUAUGAAAUAAUAUAAAUAACAAAUUACACUACAUAUUAAUUACUCAAAUCAUAUUUUUAUAUUAUUCAUAACAAUAAUAUUAUUCUAUAGCAAAACAUUUAAAUUUAAAUAAAUUUAUAUUAUAGUAUUUAAUCUUCUAUUUCUUCAAUUAUUUUAUUAUUAUUUAUACAAAAUAAUCGAAUAUAAAUAUUAAUUGCUACCAUAAUAUAUAUUGUAUUAUUUCAUAAUAAUGCGACUAUUAUAUCAAAUUAAGAAUAUACCAUUUAAUAAUAAAAUAAAUCAUCUAGGUAUUUAUCAAUAUUAAUUAUUUAAUAAUAUCACAACUUAAUAACACUAUUUAAUGAUAAAAUCACUCAAUUCAUUGGUGUUGUGUGACUCAUGUUUGAUAAAAUUGAAUGGGUGGUUGCUAAUAUGCACGUUUACCAAGAGUUAUGGUUUUUUCUCUAGCGGUUUAGGGGAUCCAUCCGAGAGGGAAAAUUUUUGUACUAGAAGGGUGAGAAUAGCUAAGGGAGAAAAAAAAGUGCUAAGGGAGACAAGGUUAAUUGUUUUCUUCUUAGGGAGAUCUCUAUUAUAUAUUGUUGUAUGGUGAGGUAUGUGCAUAAAAGCUCGAUUCAUAUAAGAGUUUUGAGGGCGUAAUUUUCGGUGAUGGUGCACCAUCCAAGUCCCUUUCCCUUUAUGGAUGCAGAUCAAAUUGGUCAAACCAUGUAAAUAAUUGUGCGUGUGUGUGUGUGUUUUUUUUUUAAUUGCACUACUGUUAAUUGAAUUCUUGUGUUAGUUUUUGCAUAUCGCAUCUUGUUAUUUGGUUAUUUGUUUUUUGUUUUUCAACAGUUUAAGGUUUAAUAGUUAGGAAAUAAUAUAGUCAUCAACUAAAAACCUUGGUUGGGAAGAAAAAAAAAGUUGUAACUUUUAGUGAUGAAAUUAUUUUUAUUGCUAAAAAUUAGAUUUAGUGAUACAAAAAUUUCAUAGGCAAAAAAUCUAUCUUCAUCACAAAAGUGUUUGCGCCAAAAAAAAAAAGUGAUAAAUUUUCCUACCCCAUAUUUUGGUGAUGAAAAUGUGAAAUUCAUCAAGAAAAGUUUGUAGGAAAUUCACGUUAGUGACAAUAUUUAAAAUUUCAAUUAGUUUUAGAGAUAAUAUUUUAAUUCAUCCCUAAAUUUUCCUUGGGAAAAGCACGUUUUCUUGUUGGAUCAUUAGAAUGAAGUCUACUUUAGGUAGAUCAUGAUCUUAUUAUUAUAUAGAGAAACCCUCUCUAAUUAAUAUUUUGGUCGUAACCUUGGAAAGUUUCUUAAAGCAAGAUUGACAUACCAUUUAUGUUUAACCCUUAGAUCAUGCAAGUGAAACCACUUUAAAUGAUUCUUCCACUUCAUAUUUUAUCUAAGAGUAUAGCCAAAAUCCUUGACAUCCAUAUUACUAAGAAAAGAGUUUCAUUGUCACAUGAUUUCCAAUGCAUUGGAUUGAAAAAAAUAAGAAUUAACCUGAAGCAUUUAUUGUGCAACCACAUUCUCCAUUGAAUUGAACAAAAAAAACGUCUUCAAGUGAAUGACUCUGAUACCAAAUGAAACAGGAGAAUAAUCGCAUACAUUUUUUUUUUCAUUUCAUCUUAUUAAAUGGAUAUUACAUUAGGUCAUGAACACUGUAUAAGAGAAAAAAAAUAUAUAUCACAUCCUCUUUUGAUGGGAUUCAAACAAUAACCUUGUGAUAAAAGGAAAAUAAGAAAAUAACAAGCUUUUAAGUACAAUUAAUGGGAUUAAACAGGAUUAAAAAAAAAAUCUCAUAUCACAUAUAUUAAUGAUAGAUUUUUCUUUGAAACAUAGAACAUAAAUUUUAUUCUUGGAACCUACUAUCAUAUGCCUAUUUUAGAAUUUUAGAACAUGAACUAGGAAAAGGCCUUUCUUCGUUUUGGCAUUUCUUAGUUGUUUCCAUCAUGUAAAUUAUUUAAAAGACAAAUAUAAUAAGUGAAAUACAACUUGGCAAGCAUAUUUCAGUUAGUCGAUCCUUUAGUAAUGAGAGAAAAUAACAAAGCUAGGAAGAGCAAACAGAAAAAAAGAAAAAAAGAAAAAGCCAUCACUACAUCUAGCUCAUAGGCAGGCCGGAUUAGCUCCAUAGAAUAGAGCUGUGCACAUUACUUGGAACAAUUAAUACAUUUUCAUUUUUUACUUUCUAAUUUAAUUUUGUUAUGGUGCUUUUAGUAGAGUUGGAGCCAUUUUUCCCUUUCUUCUAUUCGCAGCCUAUAUUAAUUAGGUGCUCAGGUUAGCAACAGAGAAGCCCUUGUUUCUUCCUGGUAAUUGUAACACUUCCUUUGUGAUGAACUUUUUCAGGUGUAUUCUGGUGGAUGAGAAUGAUGGUCUUGUCGGUCAUGAUACCAAAUACAGUUGUUGUAAGUAAGAUUUCUAUGUUGCCAAUUACAAGCUAAUACAGUCACUAAUUUUGAUACAAUCAAAUUCUUGAUACAAUCUCCAAGACAAACCAUAUACAUGAUCAACAAAGGGAGCGUGGACAAUUUAAAUUCGACACUAGCUAGGUUUAAAGGUCUUGCUAAUUAACAGCUACUGAUACCAGGAACUCUGACACUAAAGUCCAUGUAAAAUCAGGUGUGCACCAUAUUGGGGUUGUACAGUUAUAACAUUAAAAGGUGCAUGAGCAUAAGAUGGGGAAAGUUCAAAUGAGAAACGCUGUAAGAUCAUUGCCAAAGCCAUUUUUGCUUCCAUCAUUGCAAAAUUUUGUCCAAUGCACGCCCGAGGACCAUAACCAAAUGGAAAAAAGGCAAAUUGGCCGCCCUUU
rnacentral:lncRNA from 1 species